rnacentral:lncRNA from 1 species
GUGGUUGUUGCGGUAGAAUUGGUUGUUGUUGUUGCUGUUGCGAAAAUGGUGGUUGUUGCGGUAGAACUGGUUGUUGCUGCUGCUGAGAAAAUGGUGGUCGUUGUUGUGAAAAUGGGGGUUGUUGCAGUAGAAGUGGUUGUUGUUGCUGCGGGAAUGGUUGUUGUUGCUGCGAAAAUUGUGGUUGUUGUUGCUGCGAAAAUGGUGGUUGUUGCGGUAGAAUUGGUAGUUCUUGCUGCGAGAAUGGUGGUUGUUGCUGUGAAAAUGGUGGUUGUUGUUGCUGCGAUAAUGGUGGUUGUUGUUGCUGUGAACAUGGUGGCUGUUGUGGAAAUGGUUGUGGUUGUUGUUGGAUCGGUUGCUGUUGGUGGUACCAUAAUAUUUGUUGUAGUGGUAAUGGUUGUUGUUGCGAUGGUUUCUCCAAGCCAGGGAUGUGGCUAGUCUCCAUUUGUGCAAUGGCACUUGUCGCUGCAACGGCAAGGAGGGCAAAGAUGAGGAAGGUCUUCAUGGUGAAUUGGUGUUAACUAGUGUUGCUUGGUUUGAUGCUUGUGCUUGUGAUGAUCAUUAUACUUCAUGUCUAUUUAUAGUAGCCCAUGCACCACCUCUUUCCUUCUUUGCAUCAGCUUUAAUAAUUGUGUUUGGAUGUUUCUGAAAUGGAUUUUUGGUACAUUAUGGUAGGUUGCACUAGCUAUACGCGUACUUUUGGAUUGAUCAUCAAAGUUGCUUUUUAGUUGUGCAUAUGAUCAUACACAAAGUACAUGAUGUUUGAGGUAGAUGACUUGCCUUAUUCACUUUACAUGUCAUGCAUUUAUCAGGAUAGUAUCACUUUUACACCCGAUUUUGGAAAAGUUACAUGAUGUUUGCUAUAGAUGACUUGCCUUAUUCACUUUACAUGUCACACACUUAUCAGGAUAUUAUCACUUUUACACCCGAUUUUGGAACCUUGCAUAGGGUGUCAGCCUUAAACAUGAAAAGGCAAAACUUGUGUAGGACUAAGUUGCAAUCAUGUGUGGGUUGUUAAGAUAUGCUCUAUUAUUAAAGCCUUACAUGUGGAGGGUUCUUCUAGACUCAAUUGUUUCUUAUAGAACUAACAUUGUAUUGUCCUUUAAGAUGGUAAGAUAAAUUGACACCUAUAGAGCAUGACACGACUCAUCGAAUUCCCUUUACAUGUAAAGGAUUGUAAUUGCUUACAAGUCACUAACAUAUAUCUGGUCCUAACUCUAGACACAUCAUCAUCAGUUUGAUCUUUGUGUUAAGGAUUUUUAUUUGAUCAUAUCAUUCUUUUGGCGGACUAAGUUUGCAAUAUUGUGCAAAUAUUUCAACGGGCCCACCUGGUCUCUUUUACUAAAUCUUUGGGGCAGGAGGUUGAUAUUUAUUUGAAUUGUGUAGAAUAUUUACAUUGGUAACCUAUUGGAAUUAUUGUAUGUUCGUUAUACUAUGACGACAACAUAUAUAGUUUGGUUUACUGUGGUUCAUGUUCAGGUGUACAAUAAUGAAUUUACUAUAUCAAGGUACUUUAUCAACCCAAAAUAAAAAAUUCCAAACAUUUCAACAUUUUUCAUGAACAAACCUUUAGAACCUAUUCGCGACUAUCCUCCUAGAUCAUGGACAACCAGCAUAUUUCAUUUGUAGGAUUUUGACAAGGUCUUGAUUGUUUCCCACAUAAAAUGUUCUAGAUUGUUUCAUGGCAACUUGUUUGUGCCCGACUAUUUUCAAACUUCUUAUCUAGGCCAUACUUAUGUUUUUCUGUCAUUAAUCUAUUAACUGCUGAAUGAGGUGGUCCCAAAUGAUAAAGAAAACUAUGUUAGGAGUAUGGGCAUCUCUUUCAAUAAAACCAGAGGAUUUUAUGAUUAUGAUUUGGUUCGAAAUAUGUUAAUGAUAUGUGCACUCGAUCUGGGCCCUUAUCCGAUGAAUUGAAAAGUGUUAAAUGGCCCAUGCAUAAAUCUAUAUUUGUUCACAAGUAUCAGAAAUCUGGAAUGGUGACACUACAUAUUCAAUUCAAAUUUGAAAAUACAUCUGAUCCCAGCUAUAAAGGUCGCCAUGUGUCUCAAAGGAGUCUCCAUGGCAACUCUGGCCGUCUGCAAUUACACUAGAUGGCAUGCUAGUCUGCCAUCCAUCGUGGGGAUCCGCCGACAGGACAGGUCAGAGUUCCCGCGGUUGCAACUAGCAGGUUAUUCAUCCAAUCUCUGUUCGUCAGUUAGUGCUCGAUCCUAGAGUAAAUGGUACUUGUAUGGAUAUAUAGUUGCAGAGAGGAAUUUCUUUGCCUAGUGUUUGAUCGGAUUGCUAGCUGGAUUGGUGGAGAAAUCACUACUUCUUCGUGGUAGGGUAGCAGUGGACAAUUAGUACAGACAUACCUGGCAAAAAAUUCUGGUGUGUUGAGAAGUAUAUUAAGUGGAGAUAGUACUAGAUCUGAUGGCUGCCGGAGAUAGUAGUAGAUGUAAUACUACACACUGGCACAGUAUGAGGUCAUUAUAUUGUUCUGUACAAAGUCUGUCACUGAGAUGUACAUAUAUGAGUUACAGCCGUAUAUAUAUUUCUUGCAAAAUCCAUGCUUCCUUGCAGGUGCCCCCGAGACAGAGCCUAUUCCCUAUUUGGUACGGUGAGUAUUAAAUCGAAACUCAAAAUAUGCAUUUAUCGAUUUGUCAAUCUCACAUUAUAUGCAUCUGAUAGGAGAGGUUAUCGUCAGAGGUUGUGGAACAAUCUGAAGGACACUUGUGGUUAAGCAGCAACAGCAGCAGGUGAAGUGUUUCAUGUCAGUCAGUUGGUAGUCAGACUGGCACUUGUUUAAUUUGGAUGAUACAGUUUUUUAUUCACUUUGGUAAAUGCCAAUGGACAAUGACCAAUUUGGAUGAUACACGUGAGGAAUAGACUACAGAAAGACUAGUUAUGUGGUCACCUGGGACUCUAGAGUGUUUUUAGGUGCCAUGCAGUCUUGUUUUGCUGUUAUAGACUUGAUAAAUGCUAUGAGCUAUUUUUGACAGCACCAGUGUCGUUUCAUUGUUGGUUUAGCAGGUGCUUUGGCUAAAAGAAGAAAAGAAAAAUGUUACGCACGCCUAGGUUAUGUCAUGAUUGUUAUUGGCUUUGACAAACUUUGACCUCUGUCUUCUUCAGAUAUCUGUAUCAGUGCUGAUGGUAUCCCAGCAGUGCUGGUUACUGGGGAAGUGUAUGCGGCAUGUCGAAUCAUUCUUCCGCAGGAGGCCCCUAAAGCUUCAACUUGUUGAGAAACUGUCUGCACUCCGCAGUUUGGAACCUUGCGGCAUGAUGCUGUGAAUUUCUUGGAUAGUGGGCUUCCCUGAUGGCUGCUCUGCUAGUGCUAGCUCAGGGAAUGGCCUCUACAACUGAACUGUACUGCAGUCGGUCUUGACCGAGAAUUGUUGGGGCCUAUGGUGUAGGGCGACUGCUUGGCGUCGAGUUGAGCUGCAACGCUGAAUCAAACCCUGGCCGACACAGACAAUCAGAUCUGGAUUUGGUUUGCUGCUCGUCCUUUGGGUUCGUGCCCAUGAUGGGCAAGGUUCACCAGCAGUUUACUAUCAUCCAUGGCGCUUUAACCCUGUGGUGUUCUACUUAUCUGAACAACUUCUUGUUUUUGAAAUGUCAACCGGGGUGUGUGUGUGUGUGUGUGUGUGUGUGUGUCACAAAAAGAGGAAGUCCUCAGUUUGUGAUCAUACAGCAGAGGUGAAUAGAGGGGCAGAGGGCCACACAGUUUUUUUUUAGAAAUGGAGGCGUACCCCCGGCCUUUGCAUCAUAAUGAUGCAUGCAGCCAUCUUAUUAAAGAGUCUUGAAGUAGCACAAAGUCAAAAAAGUAUUACAGCUCGCAAGCGAAGCGAACCAAAAAAAAAAGUACAUGCCCAAAAUCACUACCGGUAAGGCAAAGUAAAAGAUAAGCUCCCUAUACUCAUAUCCUGUUCUGCGACCGCCAACCGAACCGGUUGAAUAUAGCCCGUGCUACCAUCUCCCACUGGUUGCACCCAGUAACCAAAGCCUCCCUGGAGUCCACAGGAGUGAGUAAGGACCACGUAUGGAUCAAUGCGGUAGCUCUAAAGAUGACCAGCAAGAAAGUUAAAAUGUGUUGUCUGUUAAAAAUCAUAUCAUUCCUACAAUUCCAUAUAGCCAUAAAAGCGCACAUACUCCAAUCCGAAUACGAGAUACAGUAAUAUGCUCAACCCCAGCUAACCACAUUCCAAACAACAAUUCAAUGUCAACUUGAGGAUUAAAGUUAAAGGCUAUAUGGAUCAUUCUCCAAAGCAAUUUGGCGAGUGGGCACUCAAGGAAUAGAUGUUGUAUUGUUUCAUCAUGAUCACAAAAACAACAACGUCAACAACCUACCCAUCGCGUCUUUAUUAAGAUAUCCUUGAUGAGGAUUACUUGCUUGUGGACGAACCACAUAAAUAUUUUAAUAUGCAAGGGAACCUUAACCUUCCAAAUAUGUAACGAUCUCGUGAUUGGGCCAGAAUUAAUCAGAUCCAUGUAAAACGAUUUCACCGUAAAUGCCCCAUUUCUAGCUAACUUCCAGUGCGUCCAAUCAGGUUGGUCGGAUAAUUGAACAUCUAUCUGAGUUGUCAUUUGAUUAACGGGAUCACAUCAUUAGGAGAAUGAUGUGAUUGACUUGACCCAUUCCGUUAGCUUAGCACUUGAUCGUUUAGUAUUCUGCUAUUGCUUUCUACAUGACUUAUACAUGUUCCUAUGACUAUGAGAUUGUGCAACUCCCAUUUACCGGAGGAACACUUUGUGUGCUACCAAACGUCACAACGUAACUGGGUGAUUAUAAAGGUGCUCUACAAGUGUCUCCGAAGGUACUUGUUGGGUUGGCGUAUUCCGACAUUAGGAUUUGUCACUCCGAUUGUCGGAGAGGUAUCUCUGGGCCCACUCGGUAAUGCACAUCACUAUAAGCCUUGCAAGCAUUGUAACUAAUGAGGUAGUUGCGGGAUGAUGUGUUACAGAACGAGUAAAGAGACUUGCCGGUAACGAGAUUGAAAUAGGUAUUGAGAUACCGACGAUCAAAUCUCGGGCAAGUAACAUACCGACGACAAAGGGAACAACGUAUGUUGUUAUGCGGUUUGACCGAUAAAGAUCUUCCUAGAAUAUGUAGGAGCCAAUGUGAGCAUCCAGGUUCCGCUAUUGGUUAUUGAUCGAAGACGUGUCUCGGUCAUGGCUACAUAGUUCUCGAACCCGUAGGGUCCGCACGCUUAAUGUUCGGUGCCGAUUUAUAUUAUGAGUUAUGUGUUUUGAUGUACCGAAGGUAGUUCGGAGUCCCGGGUGAGAUCGGGGACAUGACGAGGAGUCUCGAAAUGGUCAAGACGUAAAGAUCGAUAUAUUGGACGACUAUAUUCGGACAUCCGAAAGGUUCCGAGUGAUUCGGGUAUUUUUCGGGGUACCGGAGAGUUACGGGAAUUCGCCGGGGAGUAUAUGGGCCUUAUUGGGCUUUAGGGAAAAGAGAGAGGGUAGGCUGUGCGCCCCCCAAGGCCUAGUCCGAAUUGGACUAGGGGGAGGGGCUGCGCCCCCUCCUUCCUUCUCUUCUCUUUUCCCUUUCGUUGACUCCUACUCCUACUACUCGGAAGAGGGGCAAUCCUACUCCCGGUUGGAGUAGGACUCCUCCAGGGCGUGCCAUAGGAGGGCCGGCCCUUCCCCCUCCUCCACUCCUUUAUAUACGGGGGCAGGGGGCACCUCUAGACACACAAGUUGAUCUGUUGAUCUAUUCUAGCCGUCUGCGGUGCCCCCUCCACCAUAUUCCACCUUGGUCAUAUCGUAGCGGUGCUUAGGCGAAGCCCUGCGUCGGUAACAACAUCAUCACCGUCAUCACGCCGUCGUGCUGACGGAACUCUCCCGCAAAGCUCUGCUAGAUCAGAGUUCGUGGGACGUCGUCGAGCUGAACGUGUGCUGAACUCGGAGGUGCCGUGCGUUCGGUACUUGGAUCGGUCGGAUCGUGAAGACGUACGACUACAUCAACCGCGUUGUCAUAACGCUUCCGCUUUCGGUCUACGAGGGUACGUGGACACACUCUCCCCUCUUGUUGCUAUGCAUCACCAUGAUCCUGUGUGUGCGUAGCAAAUUUUUUGAAAUUACUACGUUCCCCAACAGUGGCAUCCGAGCCAGGUUUUAUGCGUAGAUGUUAUAUGCACGAGUAGAACACAAGUGAGUUGUGGGCGAUACAAGUCAUACUGCUUACCAGCAUGUCAUACUUUGGUUCAGCGGUAUUGUUGGAUGAAGCGGCCCGGACCAACAUUACGCGUACGCUUACGCGAGACUGGUUCUACCGACAUGCUUUGCACAGAGGUGGUUGGCGGGUGUCAGUUUCUCGAACUUUAGUUGAACCGAGUGUGGCUACGUCCGGUCCUUGAGAAGGUUAAAACAGCACCAACUUGACGAACUAUCGUUGUGGUUUUGAUGCGUAGGUAAGAACGGUUCUUGCUCAGCCCGUAGCAGCCAUGUAAAACAUGCAACAACAAAGUAGAGGACGUCUAACUUGUUUUUGCAGGGCAUGUUGUGAUGUGAUAUGGUCAAGGCAUGAUGCUAUAUUUUAUUGUAUCAGAUGAUCAUGUUUUGUAAUCGAGUUAUCGGCAACUGGCAGGAGCCAUAUGGUUGUCGCUUUAUUGUAUGCAAUGCAAUCGCCCUGUAAUUGCUUUACUUUAUCACUAAGCGGUAGCGAUAGUCGUAGAAGCAAUAGUUGGCGAGACGACAACGAUGCUACGAUGGAGAUCAAGGUGUCGCGCCGGUGACGAUGGUGAUCAUGAUGGUGCUUCGGAGAUGGAGAUCACAAGCACAAGAUGAUGAUGGCCAUAUCAUAUCACUUAUAUUGGUUGCAUGUGAUGUUUAUGCAUCUUAUUUUGCUUAGAUCGACGGUAGCAUUAUAAGAUGAUCUCUUACUGAAUUUCAAGGUAUAAGUGUUCUCCCUGAGUAUGCACCGUUGCAAAAGUUCUUCGUGAUGAGACACCACGUGAUGAUCGAGUGUGAUAGGCUCUACGUUCAAAUACAACGGGUGCAAAACAGUUGCACACGCGCAAUACUCAGGUUAAACUUGACGAGCGGAGCAUAUGCAGAUAUGGCCUCGGAACACUGAGAUCGAAAGAUAGAGCGUGAAUCAUAUAGUACAUAUGAUCAACAUAGUGAUGUUCACCAUUGAUACUACUCCAUCUCACGUGAUGAUCGGACAUGGUUUAGUUGAUAUGGAUCACGUGAUCACUUAGAGGAUUAGAGGGAUGUCUAUCUAAGUGGGAGUUCUUAAGUAAUAUGAUUAAUUGAACUUAAAUUUAUCAUGAACUUAGUACCUGAUAGUAUCUUGCUUGUCUAUGUUGUUGUAGAUAGAUGGCCCGUGCUAUUGUUCCGUUGAAUUUUAAUGCGUUCCUUGAGAAAGCAAAGUUGAAAGAUGUUAGUAGCAAUGAUGCGGAUUGGAUCCGUGAUCUGAGGAUUAUCCUCAUUGCUGCACAGAAGAAUUAUGUCCUUAAUGCACCGCUAGGUGACGGACCUAUUGCAGGAGCAUAAGCAGACGUUAUGAACGUUUGGCAAAACUCGGUAUGAUGACUACUUGAUAGUUUAGUGCACCAUGCUUUAUGGCUUAGAACCGGGACUUCAAAAAUGUUUUGAAACGUCACGGAGCAUAUGAGAUGUUCCAAGAGACGAAAUUAGUAUUUCAGACUCAUGCCCAUGUCAAGAGGUAUGAGACCUCUGACAAGUACUUUGCCUAAAAGAUGGAGGAGAAUUCCUCAACUAGUGAGCAUAUGCUCAGAAUGUCUGGGUACUACAAUCACUUGAAUCAAGUGGGAGUUAAUCUUCCAGAUAAGAUAGUGAUUGACAGAGUUCUCUAGUCACCAUCACCAAGUUACUAGAACUUCGUGAUGAACUAUAAUAUGCAAGGGAUAACAGAAACAAGUCCCAAGCUCUUCGUGAUAAUGAAAUCGGCGAAGGUAGAAAUCAAGAAGGAGCAUCAAGUGUUGAUGGUCAAAAAGACCACUAGUUUCAAGAAAAAGGGCAAAGGGAAGAAGAAGGGGAACUUCAAAAAGAACGGCAAGCAAGUUGCUGCUCAGGAGAAGAAACCAAAGUCUGGACCUAAGCCUGAAACUGAGUGCUUCUACUGCAAAGGGACUGGUCACUGAAAGCGGAACUGCCCCAAGUAUUUGGCGGAUAAGAAGGAUGGCAAAGUGAGCAAAAGUAUAUUUGACAUACAUGUUAUUUAUGUGUAAUUUACUAGUGUUUAUAGCAACCCCUCGGUAAUUGAUACUAGUUCAGUUGCUAAGAGUAGUAACUCGAAACGGGAGUUGCAGAAUGAACAGAAACUAGUUAAGGGCGAGGUGAUGAUGUGUGUUGGAAGUAGUUCCAAGAUUGAUAUGAUCAUCAUCACACACUCCCUAUACUUUCGGGAUUAGUGUUGAACCUAAAUAAGUGUUAUUUUGUGUUUGCGUUGAGCAUAAAUAUGAUUUGAUCAUGUUUAUUGCAAUACGGUUAUUCAUUUAAGUUAGAGAAUAAUUGUUGUUUUGUUUACAUGAAUAAAACCUUCUAUGGUCAUACACCCAAUGAAAAUGGUUUGUUGGAUCUCGAUCGUAGUGAUACACAUAUCCAUAAUAUUGAAGCCAAAAGAUGCAAAGUUAAUAAUGAUAGUGCAACUUAUUUGUGGCACUACCGUUUUGGUCAUAUUGGUGUAAAGCGCAUGAAGAAACUCCAUACUGAUGGGCUUUUGGAAUCACUUGAUUAUGAAUCACUUGAUGCUUGCGAACCAUGCCUCAUGGGCAAGAUGACUAAAACUCCGUUCUCCGGAACAAUGGAGUGAGUAACAGAUUUGUUGGAAAUCAUACAUACUGAUGUAUGUGGUCCAAUGAAUGUUGAGGCUCGCGGCGGGUAUCGUUAUUUUUCCGCCUUCACAGAUGAUUUGAGCAGAUAUGGGUAUAUCUACUUGAUGAAACACAAGUCUGAAAUAGUUGAAAAGUUCAAAGAAUUUCAGAGUGAAGUGGAGAAUCAUCGUAACAAGAAAAUAAAGUUUCUACGAUCUGAUCGCAGAGACGAAUAUUUGAGUUACGAGUUUGGCCUUCAAUUAAAACAAUGUGGAAUAGUUCCACAAACUCAUGCCACCUGGAACACCACAUAAUGGUGUGUCCGAACGUCAUAACCGUACUUUAUUGGAUAUAGUGCGAUCUAUGAUGUCUCUUACCGAUUUACUGUUAUUGUUUUGGGGUUAUACAUUAGAGACUGCUGCAUUCACGUUAAAUAGGGCACCAUCUAAAUCCGUUGAGAUGACGCCUUAUGAACUAUGGUUUGGCAAGAAACCAAAGUUGUCGUUUCUUAAAGUUUGGGGCUGCGAUGCUUAUGUGAAAAACUUCAACCUGAUAAGCUCGAACCCAAAUCGGAGAAAUGUGUCUUCAUAGGAUACCCAAAAGAGACUGUUGGGUACACCUUCUAUCACAGAUCCGAAGGCAAGACUUUUGUUGCUAAAUUUGGCUCCUUUCUAGAAAAGGAGUUUCUCUCGAAAAAAGUCAGUGGGAGGAAAGUAGAACUUGAUGAGGUAACUGUACCUACUCCCCUAUUGGAAAGUAGUUCAUCACAGAAACCGGUUUCUGUGACAUCUACACCAAUUAGUGAGGAAGCUAAUGAUGAUGAUCAUGAAACUUCAGAUCAAGUUGCUACUAAAUGUCGUAGGUCAACCAGAGUAAGAUCCGCACCAGAGUGGUACGGUAAUCCUGUUCUGGAAGUCAUGUUACUAGACCAUGACGAACCUAUGAACUAUGAGGAAGCGAUGAUGAGCCCAGAUUCCGCAAAAUAGCUUGAGGCCAUGAAAUCUGAGAUGGGAUCCAUGUAUGAGAACAAAGUGUGGACUUUGGUUGACUUGCCCGAUAAUCGGCAAGCCAUCGAGAAUAAAUGGAUCUUCAAGAAGAAGACAGACGCUGACGGUAAUGGAUCUCCAAAGGCCGCUAACACUGUGUGUAAGCUCCAGCGAUCCAUUUAUGGACUGGUGCAAGCAUCUCGGAGUUGGAAUAAACGUUUUGAUAGUGUGAUCAAAGCAUACGGUUUUAUACAUACUUUUGGAGAAGCCUGUAUUUAUAAGAAAGUGAGUGGGAGCUCUGUAGCAUUUCUGAUAUUAUAUCUGGAUGACAUAUUGUUGAUUGGAAAUGAUAUAGAAUUUCUGGAUAGCAUAAAGGGAUAUUUGAACAAGAGUGUUUUCAAUGAAGGACCUCGGUGAAGCUGCUUAUAUAUUGGGCAUUAAGAUCUAUAGAGAUAGAUCAAGACGCUUAAUUGGACUUUCACAAAGUACAUACCUUGACAAAGUUUUGAAGAAGUUCAAAAUGGAUCAUGCAAACAAAGGGUUCUUGCCUGUGUUACAAGGUGUGAAGUUCAGUAAGACUCAAUGCCCGACCACUGCAAAAGAUAGAGAGAAGAUGAAAGAUGUUCCCUAUGCUUCAGCCAUAGGCUCUAUCAUGUAUGCAAUGCUGUGUACCAGACCUGAUGUGUGCCUUGCUAUUAGUUUAGCAGGGAGGUACCAAAGUAAUCCAGGAGUGGAUCACUGGACAGCGGUCAAGAACAUCCUGAAAUACCUGAAAAGGCCUAAGAAUAUGUUUCUCGUUUAUGGAGGUGACAAAGAGCUCAUCAUAAAUGGUUACGUUAAUGCAAGCUUUGACACUGAUCCGGACGAUUCUAAAAUCGCAAACCGGAUACGUGUUUAUAUUGAACGGUGGAGCUGUCAGUUGGAACAGUUCUAAACAAAGCGUCGUGGCGGGAUCUAUGUGUGAAGCGGAGUACAUAGAUGCUUCAGAAGCAGUGAAUGAACGAGUCUGGAUGAAGGAGUUCAUAUCCGAUCUAGGUGUCAUACCUGGUGCAUCGGGUCCAAUGAAAAUCUUUUGUGACAAUACUGGUGCAAUUGCCUUAGCAAAGGAAUCCAGAUUUCACAAGAGAACCAAGCACAUCAAGAGACGCUUCAACUCCAUCCGGGGUCAAGUCCAGGUGGGAGACAUAGAGAUUUGCAAGAUACAUACGGAUCUGAAUGUUGCAGAUCCGUUGACUAAGCCUCUUCCCCGAGCAAAAUAUGAUCAGCACCAAGACUCCAUGGGUGUUAGAAUCAUUACUUUGUAAACUAGAUUACUGACUCUAGUAAACCCUUUGAGUGUUGGUCACAUAGCGAUAUGAACUAUUGGUGUUAAUCACAUAGUGAUGUGAACUAUUGUUGUUAAAUCACAUGGCGAUGUGAGCUAGAUUAUUGACUCUAGUGCAAGUGGGAGACUGAAGGAAAUAUGCCCUAGAGGCAAUAAUAAAGUUAUUAUUUAUUUCCUUAUAUCAUGAUAAAUGUUUAUUAUUCAUGCUAGAAUUCUAUUAAAUGGAAACAUGAUACAUGUGUGAAUACAUAGACAAACAGAGUGUCACUAGUAUGCCUCUACUUGACUAGCUCGUUGAUCAAAGAUGGUUAUGUUUCCUAGCCAUAGACAUGAGUUGUCAUUUGAUUAACGGGAUCACAUCAUUAGGAGAAUGAUGUGAUUGACUUGACCCAUUCCGUUAGCUUAGCACUUGAUCGUUUAGUAUUCUGCUAUUGCUUUCUUCAUGACUUAUACAUGUUCCUAUGACUAUGAGAUUAUGCAACUCCCGUUUACCGGAGGAACACUUUGUGUGCUACCAAACGUCACAACGUAACUGGGUGAUUAUAAAGAUGCUCUACAGGUGUCUCCGAAGGUACUUGUUGGGUUGGCGUAUUUCGAGAUUAGGAUUUGUCACUCCGAUUGUCGGAGAGGUAUCUCUGGGCCCACUCAGUAAUGCACAUCACUAUAAGCCUUGCUAGCAUUGUAACUAAUGAGUUAGUUGCGGGAUGAUGUGUUACGGAACGAGUAAAGAGACUUGCCGGUAACGAGAUUGAACUAGGUAUUGAGAUACCGACGAUCGAAUCUCGGGCAAGUAACAUACCGAUGACAAAGGGAACAACGUAUGUUGUUAUGCGGUUUGACCGAUAAAGAUCUUCGUAGAAUAUGUAGGAGCCAAUAUGAGCAUCUAGGUUCCGCUAUUGGUUAUUGACCGGAGACGUGUCUCGGUCAUGUCUACAUAGUUCUCGAACCCGAAGGGUCCGCACGCUUAAAGUUCGGUGACGAUUUAUAUUAUGAGUUAUGUGUUUUGAUGUACCGAAGGUAGUUCGGAGUCCCGGAUGAGAUCGGGGACAUGACGAGGAGUCUCGAAAUGAUCGAGACGUAAAGAUCGAUAUAUUGGACGACUAUAUUCGGACAUCCGAAAGGUUUCGAAUGAUUCGGGUAUUUUUCGAAGUACCAGAGAGUUACGGGAAUUCGUCGGGGAGUAUAUGGGCCCUAUUGGGCUUUAGGGAAAAGAGAGAGGGGAGGCUGCGCCCCCCCCCCCCCAAGGCCUAGUCCAAAUUGGACUAGGGGGAGGGGCUGCGCCCCGUCCUUCCUUCUCUUCUCUUUUCCUUUUCCUAGACUCCUACUCCUACUACUUGGAAGAGGGGGAAUCCUACUCCCGGUGGGAGUAGGACUCCUCCUGGGCGCGCCAUAGGAGGGCCGGCCCUUCCCCCUCCUCCACUGCUUUAUAUACGGGGGCAGGGGGCACCUCUAGACACACAGGUUGAUCUGUUGAUCUAUUCCAGCCGUGUGCGGUGCCCCCCUCCAUCAUAUUCCACCUCGGUCAUAUCAUAGUGGUGCUUAGGUGAAGCCCUGCGUUGGUAACAACAUCAUCACUGUCAUCAGCCGUCGUGCUGACGGAACUCUCCCGCAAAGCUCUGCUGGAUCGGAGUUCGUGGGACGUCAUCGAGCUGAACGUGUGCUGAACUCGGAGGUGCCGUGCGUUCGGUACUUGGAUCGGUCGGAUCGUGAAGACGUACGACUACAUCAACCGCGUUGUCAUAACGCUUCCGCUUUCGGUCUACGAGGGUACGUGGACACACUCUCCCCUCCCGUUGCUAUGCAUCACCAUGAUCCUGUGUGUAGGAAAUUUUUUGAAAUUACUACGUUCCCCAACACUAUCAUCCUCCGGACCAAGUGCAUCGAGGCAGUCCAUCGCUCACCAACUAGCGCAUGUCAGAACUGAAUAUUCAAGGGAGUCGUUUUUAAUACUGUGCCUACGUAAUCCUCCUUACAUUGCACGAUGUUAUAAAGGGUGGGAUGUUGUACGCCUAGGGGCGUCUCUCCUAACCACGUAUCCUUCUAAAAUCUUGUUGACAUCCCAUUGCCAACCAAGAAUUUGACCCUACGAAAGAACAAGUCCUACGUUCUCAUGAGUCCCUUCCAGAAUGGCGAGUCAGUUGGUCUCACGGUAACCUGGGCGAGCGUUUUUGACUGUAAAUACUUAUUGCGUAGAAUCUGUGCCCACAUACCUUCCGGCUCUGCCUCUAACUUGUAGAGCCAUUUACUCAUAAGACAUUUAUUCUUAAUUUCCAGGUUCUCAAUACCGAGACCCCCCUGGUCCUUGGGUCGGCAAAGAAUAUCCCAUCGGGCGAGACGGUAUUUCCUCUUGGCCUCAUCAGACUGCCAGAAGAAUUGAGAUCUAAAUAAAUAAAGUCUCUUCCGCACCCCUUUCGGUAUCUCGAAGAACGAUAGCAGGAACAUCCGCAUACUAGUACGUACCGAGUUAAUCAGCACUAGCCGACGUCCAUACGACAUAAGCUUGCUCUUCCAACUACUAAGCUUUUUUUCAAUUCGAUCUUCGUUGCACUUCCAUUCUAUAUUAGAUAACUUACGGUGAUGAAUCGGUAUGCCCAAAUAACUGAAUGGCAAAGAACCUAAUUCACACCCGAAUAGUUGUCUAUACAUGUCUUGCUCUUCUUUGGCCUUUCCAAAGCAGAACAACUCGCUCUUGAUAAAAUUUAUCUUUAAUCCAGACAAUUGUUCGAAGAGACAUAAUAUGACUUUCAUAUUUCGCGCUUUUGCAAUGUCAUGUUCCAUGAAUAGGAUAGUGUCGUCAGCGUACUAUAAAAUGGAGACUCCCCCAUCGACCAGAUGAGGGACUAACCCCUCCACAUGACCGUUUUGCUUGGCCCUACAAAUAAGAAUGGUCACCAUAUCGGCCAUUAUAUUAAAUAGGAGAGGAGACAUGGAAUCCCCUUGUCUCAAUCCCUUGUGUGUAUGAAAGUAAUGACCAAUAUCAUCGUUAACCUUGAUUCCGACACUACCCUUCUAGACUUGAGAACCCACUUGGUUCUGCCAGGCCUCACUAAAUCCUUUCAUGUGCAUUGCCUGCUGAAGGAAAGGCGAUUUAACUUUAUCAUAUGCCUUCUCAAAAUUCACUUGGAAGAUAACCCCUCCAUCUAGCUUCUUCGAAUGAAUUUCAUGCAGGGUUUCAUGUAGAACGACCACCCCUUCAAGUAUGUGUCGCCCCGGCAUGAAAGCUGUCUGGCUCGGUGGUACCACUGAAUGAGCAAUUUGUGUCAAUCUAUUGGUACCCACUUUCGUGAAUAUUUUGAAACUCACAUUAAGAAGACAUAUUGGCCUGAAUUGUUCGAUCCGAACUGCCUCUUCUUUCUUUGGCAACAGUGUAAUCAUACUAAAGUUAAGAUGAAACAGUUCUAAAUGACCGUUAAAAAUCAUGAAACAUAGGCAUAAGAUCAUCUUUAAUAAUAUGCCAACAUUUCCUAUAGAAUUCAGCUGGAAACCCAUCUGGUCCCGGUGCUUUAUUCAGUUUCAUUUGUGAGAUUGCAUCCAAAACCUCUUUGUCAGUAAAUGGUGCAGAUAGAAUAUCAUUCUCCUCUACUCGAAGCUGAGGGAUAUCUCCAAUAAAAUAUUCAUUAAGGGACACCGUGCUUGCUUCCGGAGGCCCAAAAAGUUCUUUGUAAUAAUUAGAGAUAUAAGCUUUCAGAUUCUCACGCCCUGCAAUUGUCCCGUUGUCCUGUUCAAGCUGUAUUAUUUUCUUCUUCCUAUGUUUACCAUUCGUGAUCAUAUGAAAGAAUUGUGUAUUGUCAUCCCCUUGGACAACCUUAAGCACUUUAGCCCGCAAUGCCCACUUGAGCUCCUCUUCUCUAAGAAGGGCUCGUAAGCCUUGAUGGGUUUCGGACUUGGAGCUCUGCUCAUCAGCCGUAGGAAGGUUAACUUCAGCUUUUAAAUCUAGCGCAUCUAUUAAUUGGGUGAGUCGCUCUUUUUCUUGUAUGUAUAUGCCACUCUCGUUUCUGGCCCAAUCUCGCAAAACUGUCUCAGUUGUCUAAUUUUAUUUUGCCGUCUCUCAAUAAUUGUUCGUCCACUAACAGGGUUUGCCCAUUCGCGUGCAAUGAUCUCCAAGAAGUUUUCUUUCUCGAAUCAACCUAGUUCGAACGAGAAAGCAUUCUUGUUUGCAAUAUGUGUAGCCUAUCCCGAGUCUACUAGUAAUGGUGUGUGGUCUGAGAUCGCCCUCUGCAUCGCAUGUACCGGCACUAAUGGGUAUUUUUGUUCCCAAUCCACACUAGCGAGCACCCUAUCCAACUUCUCAUAAGUUGGAGUGGGCAACGAAUUGGCCCAUGUAAAUUGUCUACCGGUGAGCUCAAUUUCUCUCAAACUAAGACUCUCAAUAAUCAUGUUAAACAUCAUAGACCAGCGUCCAUCAAAAUUGUCAUUGUUCUUUUCAUCUCUCCUCCGAAUUAUGUUAAAAUCCCCUCUGACUAGGAUUGGAACAGUCUCGUCUCCACAGAUCCGCACCAAGUCGGCUAAAAAAUCUGGUUUGAGUUUGGGUUGUGCUUCCCCAUAUACAGCAAUGAGAGACCAUCGGAAGCCAUCCAAUUUCGAUCUCACCCGAAACUUGACAGCAGAAUCCCCCCGAACCACGUUAAGCACCUCAAGCGUUUCGCACCGAACUCCUAGUAAUAUCCCACCAGAUCUUCCUCUAGGAGGUAAAACGUGGCAAUCAAAAUCAAUUCCUCCGGAUAAAGUUCCAAGGAACUGUGAGGUGAAAUUAUCCCGUCCUGUUUCGAGUAGAGCAACGAAAUCUAAUUUUUUUCUCAAUCGUUGUCUCUGCCAAGAACUUUCGUUUAGCCAAGUCAGCUAGACCUUUGCUAUUCCAAAAUAUCCCUUUCAUAAGUCAUCAUUGAAUUUUUUUUCUUAGCCUUAACCCUAGCACUUCUAUGAACUGCCGAAGUAGGAUAAAUUUUCUGUUUCCAGGGUCUCCUGGGCUUCUCCCCAUCGCCCUUCGGGAACGUAGGAUCGACAGAACACGAGACAGUGCCCUCCAUCAUUGGAGGCUCUACAGUGUCCCCAGUCUCCAACCCCUCCUCAUCUUCGGCCUCCACAUUAGGCAAGAGAUUAUCACAUAUGUUUUCAAGAGCAGCCAUUCCUGAAUUUUUUAUGUCACUGUCAUUCAUAGGUUUGAUUGAUGCGAGAUUCCGAAUUGUUUCAGAAGCCCUCUCCGCUUCUAAAUCUAAAAGAUCAUUUACAGAUUUCGCAACCUCCUUCUCAUUCAAACCCAAAGAUAUACCUAAGUCGUUUGCCUUAUCAAUAAUUUCAUGCUCGAUGAAAUGCAGAAUUGAACAACUCUUAUCAAAAGACAUACCUUUAGUUGCCUCGACAUCUCGAAGCUUGGCCGCCCUCAUGGCGCGCGCUAGCUGCAGGUCAUCAGCAUCUAGUUGUCCCUGGAUCCGGUUGCUGACACGCCUACCAGCUGUUACCGGAUCCGGGAUCCCACCGAAAGCGAUAAGCUCCUCUGUAGUCAUCUCCCGAGGCGUGUGGUCCCCGCUCCCACGCCCUUGCCUUGUUGCUGGUGAAGAAGGGUAAGGCGCGGUCGAGCGGGAAACGCCAACCGAAGUAAUGGGAGAAGGAGACCAUGGAGCCACCUGCUCGAGAGUCCCACUCCCCCCCCAAACCGUCAACGCGGCGUGGAGUCGAAACGGGAGAAGGGGAGUUGUUGGCCUCCUGCCCAUACCCCUGUCUGUGCCGCCCGGAGCUACCCCGUGGUGAGAGGGCGCCGCGGGCUUCCUGCCCGCGCACCUCCCCAAGGUGGCCAGGGACCGCCGCGGGUGGGCUGGUGGUGCGAGCCUCCUGCCCACNNNNNNNNNNNNNNNNNNNNNNNNNNNNNNNNNNNNNNNNNNNNNNNNNNNNNNNNNNNNNNNNNNNNNNNNNNNNNNNNNNNNNNNNNNNNNNNNNNNNNNNNNNNNNNNNNNNNNNNNNNNNNNNNNNNNNNNNNNNNNNNNNNNNNNNNNNNNNNNNNNNNNNNNNNNNNNNNNNNNNNNNNNNNNNNNNNNNNNNNNNNNNNNNNNNNNNNNNNNNNNNNNNNNNNNNNNNNNNNNNNNNNNNNNNNNNNNNNNNNNNNNNNNNNNNNNNNNNNNNNNNNNNNNNNNNNNNNNNNNNNNNNNNNNNNNNNNNNNNNNNNNNNNNNNNNNNNNNNNNNNNNNNGGAAUCAGCCCUCUGAGAUGAAAGUACCUUUGUCGACACAACAUCAGGCAGCAUCACUGGCGGUAGCUCGAUCUCCCAUGGAUCGUCCGCUUCAACUCAGUUACUCCAUAACCGGCUAGGCGCAGACCGCGCUCCAAAAGAGCCAAACCGAAGUGUAUUCAUCGGUUUCAUGGAAGACGACGCCUCCUUGGCAGACUUAUCCGCCUUGUCCGACUGCGACUUCGGCCCCUCAGCCGACUCUCGUGGUGUGCUCUCAGGCCCCUUGUCUUGAUUCCCGGGGGCUCCAUCUCCCUCAGGCGUAUCCAUAUCCUGAUGCUCAUCCCCCUCCUGAGGUAUCGGUGUAUCCUCAAUCUCAAUCUCAAGCACGUAAGUGACCCCGGCAUGCGUCCACUUGACCACAUCCGGCACGAACUCAAGACUGGUCACACUGACAAGUAACCUCGCAGCUCCGUGUGCACGAGUGAAAGGCAUGUCUACCUGUUCCGUCUUACCAAUGGGCGAUCCCAAGCUUCUGGCUACCAAGAAGUGCUUAAUCAGUUUGGGUGGUGCAUCAUAGAACCGUACCCAGACCUUCUCUAAAGGUGUACCCUCGGGCUCCUUCUGCUUCCACUCAUCAAAAGCCAUGAUAAUUUUCGUACUCGGUACUCUGCACAUGCCAAACUUAAGGAUAUGGAACUGAUCCUCUUUAGUGGGAAAAUCGACCUUGAAAGUUUGGUUCUCCAACUUGACAAGGUCCCAUUGAUGGUUGCCUGGUACCAACUCCCGCAACUGCCGCACAAUCUGUGCCUCUGUCAUGAUCCCAUUAGUAACCUUGACAACUGCAGGAAAGGAGCUCUCCAUCACAUGCGCCAUAGGUGCCACAUCAGGUGACUCAAAAAACAAUAACUCCUGACAGCAAACCCCGCAAAUAUUGACCACCAGCUUGGGGCCUGAAAUAAGCGGGCACUCACUGGACACAUGCUGCGAUCUACAACAGUAAUUACAUAGCUCUGUGGUACAUUCUGCCACAAAAUGUCCCGGCUCGCCACAUCUGUAACACGGUAACUUCUUCUUCUUAAGAGUCCACUUGGAUAACUUUUCACCAUCAGGUUUGUCCGAUCCCUUGUCAGAACCUCCGUCACCGGCCUUAGCAGCUCCAGUGUUCAUCACCGGAAUGCUAACCGCUGCCAAAGCCUAGACCUUGUCUACAACCACCUCGGGAAGAGCAGGUGAGGCCAUCUCCACCGUAGUAACUAGCUCGGCUUGGGCCACAACACCCACAACAACAGGCGGUGGUGGAGGUCACGGUGGAGGCAGGCGCCGACCCCUCCUCUCCCACCACGGAAACCACAAUGACUUCCCCGGUUAUAUGGUUAUUAGGGCCGGCCACCCCCUCGACGAAGUUGUCGGGAGGUCCUUCAAAACCGCGUCUGGUUCCUCCGCCAUUGUACCACGCGUAUCCGCCCCCACCUCCAGUGGAGGAUGAACCGCGGUGCUGUCCUUCGCCAUACGCAUCAUAUCCAUCGUCACCCCACUGUCCACGGGGCGGGUAACCAUAGCCGUCAGCGCCGGAGUACUCACAGCCACCGCCAUAUUGGCCAUCGCGGCCCCGGCCAAAGUACUGGCGCCCCGCAGCCGGUGCAGCAGUCGGCAGCCGCGCGUCCCGCGCUGCCUUUUGGUGCCUUGAAGCUCCCCAUCCCAAGGGGUGGAAUCGCCGAGAUCCGCCUCCUGCGGCGGCGCGGGAAGAGACGGCUUCGAGGAGGGACCCUACAGCGACGGCAGCACACCUGCCGAAGAAGACGGCGGCGGCAGCAGGGCAUCCGGCGGGUGCGGGCUGUCAGGUGGCAGCAUCGCCUAGCAAGUGGGAGACUCUUAUUUCUUCUUCAAGUAAUAAUGGAAAGGCCUUUCAGAGAUUACAAGAUGCACAGAGAGGGCCACGCAGUUACACAGAGAUUACAAGAUACAUAGAGCUGCCAGGUGGGGCAUCAGCGAGCAGCGUCGCUAGAACGAUCUGAAUAACUUGCACCACAUUUGUUCUAAAGUUCCUGUUUUUUUUUUUACUACCAAACCUGCAGCUUUGCGCCUAACUUUGAAAAGGUUCCAUAUGACGAUGCAAUCCAAAUUUGCCUUUUUGAUCGACUACUCUCAGAUGUAGUAGAUUAUACCAAUGACAACAGCUGCAGAUUUAUAUCCCACAAAAAACAUGUUGGUUACUGAAGCUAAGUCGUAAGCACUUUUCACGGUGAAGAUCCAGGCUUUUCCUUGUUUCCACAUUAUUACCCGAGUUGAAUGAUCUGCAUUUCUCAGGCAUCGCUUGUUUCAUACAGGUCCACGACUCCACAUCACCAUUGUUGGUUUGGAGAGGGAGGAAAGGAAGAAGCGGGAAGGGCUCCUUUGUUCUAGUGGAGCUAUGUCCGACUAGUUAGGGGUCAUCCUGAGAUGAAAUCAAAAUGUCAAAGGAGAAAUCCGAUGACUGUGUAUGGGUGGCUCCAUGAAAUUUUCCUUCUUCUCUCGGUGCGUUGAGUCAGUGUUGUCGCCGCAAUGCCGGUUAGUUGUGAAAAGGGUGGGCGCUUGUAACCUUGGUCUGACAAAAAAUUUCUUACUAAUAUGUUCGUUCACUCAAAUGAAAUGUCCCAACAACCGCUAAAGAUUGUUUAGAUAGAUAGAGAAUACAUGAAACAUGUUGAUGUAUUUAAAGAGAAACAAUCACAUCUCUAGUUCAAAAUGUUCUCUAGCCCACCGUGGUAAAUUGUAUAAUUGUCUAUGCAAACCAUAAAAAUUGAUAUCUAAACAAAAAAUUUAAGUGAAGAAACCGCGGUUUAGCAAAUGAAAAAUUACAAAAUAAAUUAAGUGGUUGAAAACAUAAGAUUUGUUUUAAAGGGAGAGACACGGUGAGUGGGCCCUAAGUCCACCUUAACGACUUGUCAAAAGAGUCUUUAAAAUUUUAUGCCACAUCAGCUUGAUAGCCGCCACCCACGGAUCAAUUUCAGCAUCAAAUGCUAGUUAUCGGCCUAUCCCUGCAAUUUGAAAAUUCACUGCUGGAUGCCAAUUCUGUUCUCCGAAUAAGUGAAUGCCGGUGGUUUUUUGAAACCUAACCCCAAUUAUGGUGGUUACUUGCAAUCUACUCCUAGAGCUUAAAGCACACUUUUUGGGCAGUAAGUUGGAUAUAUGCAUUAUAAUAGUGACACUGAUCAGAUUAGUAGUUCUGGAAAACAAAUAGAUGUGCAGAUGCCAUGCCAAAUCAUGCAAGUUAGUAAACAUUUUUUUUAAACGAGUGGCUGUGUGCAUCACACUGGUGCAGAGGCCUGGAGUUAACCUCCUUUUCGGGGGGAAAUCCAUGUUAGUUAAUAGUUACAAUCAGGUUAAGUAACUGGAGAAACUGGAAGAUGCCCCGCGCGUUGCUGCGGGACCAUUUUCUACAACUAUAUUGUCAUAUAAAGAAACAGGAAAAAAAGAUAUAAUGUAAAGUCAAUGACCUAUGUAAUCUAGCAUGAUGUUCACAAAGAUUAAAUGAUGCCUUAGAAUUGUCGAUAAAUAGAAUAUUGGUGAUAAGAACACAAUACAUAUGCGAAAUGAACUCCACAACCAAUGACUAAAUCGGCGGGCACCUGCAAAUGAGCCACUAAAUAUAGGUCUCUCUAAAUUCCUGAAGCCAAUCUUUUGAAUGACACAAGUGAAGCACUGAAAUUAGUACUGGUCUCAAUAUCUGGAUGAAAAAAGUGAUAUCAAUGGCAUGGUUUCCUGACCGUUCCUACUCGCGAUGUUUAGGUCCACCAAAACUAAAGGAUCGCAAAAAUUAGGGUGCGUCUACUCAGUAAUAAUGAUCUAAGUGACAUUAUCAAGAUCUGCUAAAAGAACAUGAUGUGGAAGCCUGGACGUGUAACAGAGGACAGAAGAUGUCCUUGGCAACUCGCAUGGCUCCAGUAAAUUGCUGCUCCAAAUCGGCCAAUCUUAGUGGCGCGUGUUGUGUAGAAUGAUGGAGAUGCCGCAGCAAUGUAUGUGCAGCAAGCGGAUGGGUCUGUCACCAUUUCUCUGAUGAUCUGUACGCGAUACCAGUAUGUCCACCCUGUGUAGAAGACAGAAAAAUGAAAUUGUGAAAACAAAAUAGUUGCCUCACAUAUAUGCCUACCUAAAUUCAUCCAAGCCUAUCUUUUUGAAUGAGUGACAAUUAUGACUUACUUGAAUAGAAGGGAUAAUGAGAUUUCGUCCUGGGUUGUUGUAGAUGAUUUGUUCCAACCAAUGCAUUGCAUGCAAUGAAGGGAAUCAUAUGCAUAACGUACUGAAACAAAUAUAAGAUGCAUGUCAUGUGUUCAUCCAGUUCACAUAAUAAAUUUUAUAGAUGGGAUGAUUAUGUACUAACUCGAGCGGUAGGAAACCUAUGCAGGAAGAAAGCACAAAUAACCAUCGCCAUCUGCAACAAAUCAUCGAUCAACUUGUGGACAAAUCUGACAAAAUAAGAAAUCAGAUAAAAGAUUGGAUUAGACGAAGCAAAGAGGGCUAGAGAGGGACCCAAUCACUCAGCGCGUACAUGUUGGGAAGAGUAAUCAAAGAUCUGAGUCCAGUUGUGGUGGAAGAUGAUUCUCUUCUUUCAGAAAGGAUAAGCGAGCGGUUCAGUUAGCUCCUCCGCAUUUGUGUCAUUGUGUGGUGCCGCCGUUCGUUUCUGGCACAUUUGCAGGAAAGGAGAUUGUGGGGAAGAGGAGACGAUUAGGCAGAGUGAAGAGCCGAACAGGCACAGGCACGAGAGAAGACAGAAAUCCAACGUCGUGCCAUAGUGGGCAUUUAUUUUUUUUAAACAAAGUAGAGACGCAAGCGCUCAUACACACGCGCAUACACUCACCCCUAUGAACGUACACACGCACAUCCUACCCCUAUGAGCACCUCCGAAAGACUAAGCCGGCAUAUCAUCUUGAAAUUUACGAAGUCACCACAGGCACCUCGUCGUCGACGGGAACGUCUCCUCCCACUGAAUGCGCAUCGCGGAAAAUCCUGAAAUAAAUCCAGAAAUAAAUGCUUGAACCCUAGUGGACUGGGGAUACCGCGGUCCUCUAACCAUCCAACCACAGGUUGGUUCGCUAGUGGGCAUUUAUUCUGGCAUGUAUUCGUAGAUGGGCCAAUAAGCUGGCCUACUACGAGUUUGUAUAUGCAGCAGACCAUGAGGCAUAUGGUGGCCUGGGGUUGCGGCGAGGUGGUGGCAGUGGAGGAGGAGCAUCGAUUCCUAUGUGCAUUGUUGGCAGUUGUGCGGCCGGCUAGCCGGCGCGGCCGGCCAGGGGAGAUAGGCGACCCUGUGUGGACGAACAAAGAGGUUGUGAACGAAGACGCAUUUGUUCCUCUUCCUAUUCCGUAACUGACUAGAGAAAUAAGAGGCCAGUCCUUGGCUCCCCACUUCUCAUAUGAAGUGGGCAAUAAGUAAUGAUCCAUGGUAUGGGAGUAUGACUAUUCAUAUUCACAUUGACUACACAAACCAAACUUUAUUAUCAGAUCCACACUGAAAAGAUAUGAUCCCAAACACACAACCAAACAUAUAUCAUAACUAUAACAAACAAAUGGACAUGGAUUUUUGGAUUAAUAGAAUAUCCUAGGCUAAAAAUCCACUGAUUACUUGAAAAGGAAAACAUUGACAAGCUUGUAUAGUUCCUUUCAUAGCUACCCGUAUAUGGGUAGCUACAGCCCAACCUAGUUUUUGAACAUAUUAUUGGAUGGUGGCGCCAGAUGUAGUGUCCUGCAAAAAAAAGGUAUAAUCAACAUCACUACAUACCAAGAAACCAGUCAUUAAGGUAUUGAUGGAAAUUUGUCAGGAAAAUGUAACAAUCAUAAUGCCAGAUGACUAAAACUAGCUUUGAAAUUUAUAGGCUUAUUUGUUAAAUAACCUUAACUACGUCCAAUUGUCAAUACCAUGACGUUUAAAUUUCUUUCAGCUGGACAAGAUAUACAUGCUAGAAUCAAGAAGAAAAAUAUAUACAGACUAAGUAGCUGAAUGUAUGUACUUACAGAAGGUUUGGCGUAGAAUGCAUGGAUAUUAAGUUCUUUAAUAGUUUGAAAUGUAGGGGGGUUGGCGGGCGUGUUAUACUUGAUGACCCCACGUGCCACAGCAAACUCCCCAGUCCCACCCAUAAUGGCCAUCUGGCCUUGGCCUGUUUGAAAAUUGAUCCCCAUCGCUUCGAAUGAUGAUCCAUUGUACAUGAUAUAGUUUUGUACGGCAAUAUCAUACUCCCUCCGUCCGAAAAUACUUGUCAUCAAAAUGGAUAAAAAGGGAUGUAUCUAGAAUUAAUAUACAUCUAGAUACAUCCUCUUUUAUUCAUUUUGAUGACAAGUAUUUUCGGACGGAGGGAGUAUAUCAUAUGAAAUUGGAAAAUAUUUAGUAUCUGAGACCUUUGUAACUAAGCAUAUAUGCUAUGUAACCAGGAAAACUAAAAACUUAUACUAGUCCAAAAGUAUAUAAAAAUAACCUAGAGUUCUUCUCGAACACCAUGCUGAAGUAGUUGAACCAGCCUGGACCGGCUAUGUCAGCUUGCACUUGCAUGCCUUUGGUACGGGCAACAAUGGUGGCAGUAGCGGGGUUUUGUCCAUCAAUUACAGUCCAGUCGGUAACGGAAGUUAGACCAAAAACAGAUCGUUUGCUGGAGGUAACAAUUACUACCUGGUUGGUGCCCGGCCCAGAGGCGAUUUGGUGCAAUUACAAGUGCAAGUUAACCUCGGACUCACGCUGAAGAACACAGGAAAGGGAUGCAGUUGCCAUGGAUAGAAUGAAAUGCAGGAUUAGGACCAUGGACAGGACUACAAGGCUAGGGCUGGCCAUGCCUAGCUAGGGUUUUGGCUGGCAGAAGAUGGAGUAAUUGACAAAAAACUACCACAUUUCACGUAAGCGUCCCACAGAACUACCUUUUUUGAAAACUGACCAAAAACUCCAGUUUAUUGCUGAUUUCGUGAUAAAAAACUACCACAUCGCGUUGAUGACCGUUUCAAGCGUUUUAAACGUCUUUCUGACAAAUCGGGCCCACCUUUCAGGACGAAGGCCGCGCUAACGGCUAACGGCGCUCGCCUGGCGCCCGUUAGCCGUGCGCGUCGGUCGGCCCGGUCGGACCAGGACUAACCUGGCCGACCGGCUGGCUCGUCGUCCCCCACCACCUCACUCUCCCCCCACCCNNNNNNNNNNNNNNNNNNNNNNNNNNNNNNNNNNNNNNNNNNNNNNNNNNNNNNNNNNNNNNNNNNNNNNNNNNNNNNNNNNNNNNNNNNNNNNNNNNNNNNNNNNNNNNNNNNNNNNNNNNNNNNNNNNNNNNNNNNNNNNNNNNNNNNNNNNNNNNNNNNNNNNNNNNNNNNNNNNNNNNNNNNNNNNNNNNNNNNNNNNNNNNNNNNNNNNNNNNNNNNNNNNNNNNNNNNNNNNNNNNNNNNNNNNNNNNNNNNNNNNNNNNNNNNNNNNNNNNNNNNNNNNNNNNNNNNNNNNNNNNNNNNNNNNNNNNNNNCACUCGCUCACUCACUCUGCUCCUCUGCUCUCCACUGCUCCUAUUCUUCUUCUCGCACUCCGGCGACGCCGCGACCAUGCCGUCGUGGCCCAACAGCAACGAGACCUCUGACGAUGACGAGUACAUGAGCGAGUUCAGUAGCAUGCAGAUGGAGUAUUUUGUAAGUCAGCUCAAUCUCUCCUCUCCUCUCCUCUGCUAUGGUUAGGGUUAGGGUUUGAAGAAGGAUAUGGAUUUCUCCAUUUAAGUUCAUGUAUGCGAGCUGUAGUUGAUAUAUAUGUGUUUCCUGGUGCAGCAAACUCCAGACACUGUGAUAGAUCCAAGCUUUUCUGGGCUUGUGACUGAAUCUGACCGUAGGUGCAUCCCGCACAGGGAGAGGGCUGGCAAAUUUGUGGCAUUUGAAGGCACUGACACUGGCAGGAGAUUCGUAGGAUGUGUAACUGAGGUAAUGAACCAAGUUGUCAUGGCUGUGAUUGAUUCAUUUUGUGCUUUUUUGAAUAAUGCUGCUGCUUUUCUCAUUUUUGCUUAAUUAUAAGAGCAGUGCUCUGUCUAAAUUAUGUACUUAUAGCAAAUAGCAGCAAAGAGCAAUGGAACCAAGAGCUAGUGUAGUGUAGCUACAUUUAUGAGUACUGUUUAUGAUUUGUUAUUGUGAAUAUGUUUGUUAAUGAAGAAUAAAGCUCACUUCAAAUUUAACUGAAUUUUCAGGAUGGUGUGAACUGUUGUGUUUUAGAGUGGGUAGAUGCCCCUUGGCCUGUAACUUUGCAAAGGUGCUUAACCAAGCUCUGGGAUAUGUAUCAUGAAGAGAACCUUGGUAGAGUCCAAGACAAAGAGGCUCAUGAGAUAGAGGUUGAGAAACUGAAGAAGGAGUUGGAUUCUCUUGGCAAUCAGUACAGUCAGCUUGUGGAUGAUGUAUCCAAGCUGUUUGAUUACCAGGAUGGGCAGAAAUCCCAUGACAUGGAUUACACAAGCCAGGCAAUCAAUGAACUUAAGGAGAAGAAGCAUCAGCUUGAGGAGAAGGCAAAGAUUGAGAUUCAAAUGGAGAAGCUUAAGCUCAAGAAAGAACAGAGGUGCAUCCUGCAGAGUCAAGCUGAUAUCAUUCAAAACACCAGGAAAGCCAUGAAGGAGAUACAAGUUGAGAGAGACCUCCUUAAAGAAGAGAAGAAGAAGCUGGAGCAUAUCAUUGUUGGGCUCUUGAAGGCAGGUCAUGGGUGCAAAGAAAAGCUAGACAAGAUCAAAGAAGUUUUCAUGGAGGAGUGAAGUGGUACCUAGGGUUGGUAAGUGAAUAUGAGGCAUAUAUAUAUAACUGGCCUAGUACUAGAAUCUGAUGCAGAUAUGCAUCUUAGUAUUAAUAUGAACUCCCUAUUAACUGCCUAUGGUUUCAGAUCAUUUUGGUUGUGUUGUUGGGUGAUGUAAUGCCCCUGAUCUGUAAUGCUCUAAGAUAAUCCUAUUUCUAAUGCCCCCUGAACCAUAUUAUCCAGAUGUUGUUAUAUCUACAUCUGCAAUUUGUUGCUGCUAGGUAGUUGUUGCUAAUACUUACACUUGAAUCUAGUAACACCAAACAACACUGAAACUGAAAAUGAAAAUGAAAAUGAAACUGAAACUUGCAUUACAUAGGAGGUAGCAUAGAUAACACAUAUUGUCUAAGGAUGCAACAUAGAUAGCAUUACAUAGAUAGAUAGCACCAAAUAGUCUGAGGAUAACUGAAACUAGCCAACACUGAAUAAGACUGACGAAACUGAAUGUGAAACUAAAUAGUUUCACAUUCAGUUUCAGUUAGGCGCCUGCCCUGCUAAACGGCCUGAGCAUCGUACCUCCUGGUUCACUUCGGUGGGAGGAUUCGGCAGCUUCUGCACCUCCUGUUCUUCUUCAUCGAUGAAGAUGAUGGGAGGAGGGCGGCGGCGAGCCUGCAGUGCUGGUGGUGCGAUGAUCUGGAUGUCGUCGUCCUCGUCUUGGUGCUUGUUUGCAUUUGCUUCAGCCGUAGAUUAUGCUGGAGCGACGUAGUGGUGGUCUGCCCACCGCUGCCUCUGCCCAGCAUCGGCGGAGCCCGCCUCUUUCAUUGCCCAUAGCAGUAUAUCUAUGGCCAGGAUCCCCUUACCUCGGUUUCCAUAUUGUUGGUCCAUGCGUUGCUUCUCCUCACUCGUCGCCUUCUUUCUCACUUCGUCUGCUCCAUCCACCAGCUCUUGAACGCUGGUGUACCUUGUGGCGACCUUCAUGUAGUCCACGAAGAGGUCGUCGUCGCCGCGCGCUGAACCAUAAAGCAUGGCAACCCAUCCCUUGCCAGUUGGGAAUGGGUUGAGCCAUGGGUCCGAAGAAGAGGAAGAAGCAACCAUGGUUGGAGCAGGAAGUGGUGAGUGCAGUGGUGUUGAGCGAGGUGAAGUUGUGGUGAUGUGAGUAGAGUAGCUGAAGAAAGAGGGGGGUAGUUAAAGAGAGGUGGAGUGAGGUAGUGGAGAAGUAAAACGUGUGCAGUAGUAUUUGACAUCCAUCUCAAUAUAAGUGUCUCGACUUUGUACUAACUUCAAUAGUUCCACAACACCAUAAAUUUCACCAGUCUUAAAUAGUUGAUGAUCGCAAGCUGCACAAAAUGAAUAUUUCACACCCUAAGCUAUAAAAUGCAUUGAAAAUACAUUAGUAUGCAGUACUAGAACAUCAAUAAAAAUUCUCUGUGGGUCAAUCAGAUAUUAGAGAACAUUGAAGUUGCUCUCUGAACUGUCACCUGAGCUCGCUAGUGAAAGCAAUCAUAUGGGUCAUUAGCAAUUUUCAUUUGUAUAUUGCUGGUAAAUGUACUCAACUGUUAGAAAAAUAUGUUCACAAAAACUAAAGCUGCUGAUGGAUACAUAAAAACCCACCAACCAUUUUAGAAUAAUUUGGGGACAACGACUCUCAAAUCAUUAAGCCCCAUAUCACACGGAUCACAACGAUGCGUAGUCCUAAUAUUAGAUAGGAAAAAGCAUGUGCUCAUAAUAAAAGAUCAACAAAUGUACUCAACUGUCAUACCACCAAUACUUUUGAGUAUUUCUUGGAAAAUAAAAUAUAAACAGUACUGCUAAAAAUAUCAAAUCAAUGUGCCAUUAUCUCCUACAAAGAUCCAAAGGGGAAAUCAGUAGAGAAAAAGUGGUUCUGGAGUAAGAAAAAAAAUCUCAUCUGUUUUGCUGACUUGCAUUGCACGUAAAGUUAUGCCCAAAAUGUAAUGCUUGACCUGGGAAUAAUUUAGUUUUGUAGUAUACUGCGAAUAAAUCAUGCUCAAUUGUAUUGGAACCCAAUAUACUCCCCAAGACCCAUGUCGCCAGAACUAAGUUCUGAAUGAACUUUACUACAUAGUCAUCAAGCUGUAGCAUUUUUUCGGUAUGUUAGCAAUGCAGCACAUCAGGUAUUUAUGUGUUUGAACAUCAUGUGAAUUCAAACCGGAAUUCCUUCAUUCAUGAAAUGGAACAUAGCGUAAUGGAGAGAUCAAGAAUGAAAAAGACUUACCAUGUUAUAUUAGAGAUGCAAAUCAUGAACUUUUUGCGCAUGCAAGCAGGAGCUGGACCUCCAAAUAUGUGUCAUCCCCACAAACCUGCACGCAAUACCUGAUAAACAUUCUGCUUAGAUUAAGGACCAGUUAGGUAUACAAUUUUCUGUACUAUACACCCACCAUUAGAUCUGAAUUUGAAAGAAAUAACGAUUCAUCUACUUGUAGAAUUAAAACUUGCUGCAAUGAGAUAUCACAAUGAAGAAUGAAAAGAACCCCCUUCCACAUGUUUUAUUAUUACAGAUGUAAGAAAUAACAGUCUAGAGAAUAAAACUGUCCUCUAAGCUAGUAAUAGUUAUGAUGUGAGUGCUAAUCACUAAUAAGCACAUGCUUAGACAGAGAGAAAAGAGAGCAGAAGUACACAAAUUACCUAGCGAAGAUGAAACAGAGAUGCAACCUGUAGCUAGGCAAGGGAAGCCGCCAGUGUGGUUGCAUUGGUGUCCACCACCUGCCGUCAAGUGGCGGCCACAGUGGUGUACGCAGUGACAUGGGUUGGUCAUCCAAUAGGUGGGCGUUAUAUACUCCUAAAAUAGCGGUCCAGAAAAUUCGGGAAGAGGCGUUUGAAGCUGUUGCCAAUAAAAACAUAAUGAACAUCCUAACCCACCAUAAUCGCAAGAUGAAUGUGUAAAUCAUAAUUCAUACCCCUGCUCCUCCCCCAAAAUUACACGCGUCGUCACCCAAAAAUCCACUGAGACGCUGAAAUCAACUCUAAUAAAAGGAGAAAUUGAUUCCUGGGGGAGAUUGAAUUUUACUUAUUGUCUCUUAUCUGCAUUUCUACAUAAAACAAAACAAGCAGUGCACAAUAAUUACUACUCCCUCCGUUCCUACACAUAAGUCUUUUUAGAGAUUUUAAUAUGGACUACAUAAGGAGAAAAAUGAAUAAACCUACACUCUAAAAUGUGUCUAUAUGCAUCCGUACGUAGUCUAUAUUGAAAUCUCUAAAAAGACUUGUAUUUAGGAACGGAGGGAGUAGUAGCUAAUAUACAACCGAAUAAUAAGUUAACAGAAGCGAACAACUUCCCUCCGAUUGGCACUGAACAUUACCACUUUACAAGAUGAAAAGUUCAUAGUUCAGUACUAGUUACUGGUUAGUAGCAGGCCAACACUGUUUGACAGAUAAAAAAUCAAUCGAUUAUGUACUGUGAUGAUCUGAACAUGAACGCACAAAUAAAAAGAGUGUGUACUGUGUAGCACUAGCAGACAGAGGAGGACGGUCGCAGGACACCCUGGAGCUGCACGUACGAACGCACGAGGGCCAGUGAUGGUUCGGUGCCUGUGGAAGGUGAGGCAGCAAGCAGCCGAACAGGUCACGCGCCGUUACUUUGAUCGAUUGAUGGUAAAAAUUGUAGAGGAUAUAUGGGAUUCAAGGGAUCACCUGCUUGACGUGCCAGAGACUGAAGAUGCUUGCGGGGCGGUGCAUCGACGGAACACGCAGUAGAUCUUCGGGUGGCGGAUGACACCAACGUGGAUGCAGCUAGGUGACGGUGAGGACAACGUCGGGAGGAGCUCGACAUGGCGACGGUGAGGACGACCGACGCCAACGUGCUCCAACUACCGAGGUUGCCGAUGGACGAGAAAGGGAUUCGACGGUGGGCGGAGCUACCGGCGGAGGGUAGCCCUUCGGGGAAGGGCUGCUGCCGCACGGUGAAGGUGAAUGGGCGGCGCACGAGGUGGGCAUUGAUGCCGGCGUAGAUUUAAUCUGGAGGUUGGGAGCAGGCGGCGUGGGAAAAAUAUCUUGGAUUAGAUGGAGGGGAAAAAUUGAGAGACGUGGGAAGUCUUAGGCGGUAAAGAAAAUCUAAUUUGCCGCGCCAAAUUUCGUUAAGCAAAAACAGUUUAGGAGCCCCAAACUUGGGAAAGCGAAAAACAAAUCCCAAGAAAAUGGAGAUUUCACCAAUUAAGAGCAUCUACAGUCGGGCGCCUGAAACCGGUCUAAAAUGACCGAACGACCCGCCUCAUGUUUUUUACCCAGCCGGCACCUCAAACGGCUCUCAAACCCCCGAGCUUUCCGGCGCCCCUUAUAUCCAGCCCAAAUAUGGGGCGGAUAUGGGGCGCCCGGCCAGGUGCGCCCGGGCACACCCACUUGUUGUAGUAGAUAGUUAGGAAGUCGUCGGGUUAAGAUCCAAUAGGACUAGCGCAUCAGAACAAUAACAGCAACCCAUAAAGAGGAACAUAGAACCGAAAGAUGUAAUAUGAAGACAUAUGAAUAUAGACGAACGAAGACCGAUCCAAGUGAAUUCAUAAAAGACAAACGCUGACUGAAUCCCACGACAUCCGUCGGAGACACACCUUCACACGCCCUCCGAUGAUGCUGGACACAUCGCCAGAACGUGGCUAGGCGGGUAUAACCUUAUUCCAACUUCAGGGAGUUGUCGCCGUCUCGUCUUCCUCGGGAGGGCACAAACCCUAAACAUACACAAAAAAUAUCUAGAAAAUAGAGCAAGUCCUCCUGUCGGCAAGCGCUGAGAUCCACCUCGCGCUCCAUAGCUCUAAGGUCACAUAGGACGAAGCCAAUCUACGGCGGCAUAGACGGGGAGCAUGAAAUCUCAUAUAGGCCUCGGUGCAAGACGCACGAGCCGAAGGGUAACUUUAUUGGGUAAUAUACGUAUCAAAGUAAUAUCCACAAAGUUUAAUAAGUAUAAAGGCAGUGAAAGAUUGAAGGGGCGAAGUGCGACUCGCAACAAUAAGGGUGGCAUUCUCAAGCCAUGGGUGUGACUUAGGCUGGACAAAGCGACCGGGCUUUUGGCCCGCAUGUGGCUCCCUCUGGACCAGACCGUUUGGUCCUACCUGUGGUUCCUAUUUAAAGCGGCGAUCGACAGUUGUCGACCAAACGUACAAUCCCCCUUGGUCACUACCUGUAUUUGGCCCGGCCAAAAUAGCGCACGUUCCCUAUUUUUUCUUUUGCUUUUUUGUUUUUGUUUCAUUUUUAUUUUAUUUUUCAUUUCUUUUCCUUUUCCUUUUUCUAUGGUUGUUUUUAUUUCCUUUUUUCAUUAUUUUUUCCUUUUUCAACUUCAGAACAAUUUUCGAAUUUUGUGAGUCUUUUUAGAUUUCGCAAACAUUUUCAAUUACGUGAUUUUUAAUUCUUGAACAUUUUUCCAAUUAAGGAGUAUUUUAUGAAAUCCCGAACAUUUUUCAAAUAUGUGAACAUUUUAUGAAUUGAUUGACAUUUUUCAAAUUCAUGAACUAUUUUUGUUAUCAGGAACUUUUUUGAAACCCUGGUCAUUUUUUCGAAUUUGAGAUUCAUGAACAAUUCUCAAACUAAAAAAUAAAAGAAACAUAAAAGAAAAAACGAAAGAAGGAAGAAUGAAAAACAACUACNNNNNNNNNNNNNNNNNNNNNNNNNNNNNNNNNNNNNNNNNNNNNNNNNNNNNNNNNNNNNNNNNNNNNNNNNNNNNNNNNNNNNNNNNNNNNNNNNNNNNNNNNNNNNNNNNNNNNNNNNNNNNNNNNNNNNNNNNNNNNNNNNNNNNNNNNNNNNNNNNNNNNNNNNNNNNNNNNNNNNNNNNNNNNNNNNNNNNNNNNNNNNNNNNNNNNNNNNNNNNNNNNNNNNNNNNNNNNNNNNNNNNNNNNNNNNNNNNNNNNNNNNNNNNNNNNNNNNNNNNNNNNNNNNNNNNNNNNNNNNNNAUGUUAAAAUAAUUCAGGAUUACAAAACGGUUCUAAAAUAUCAAAAAAAUGUGAAAGGUGAAUUGUCAAAAACAAUUCUUUAUUUCAAAAAUAUUUGUGAUUUUACAAGGACGAACAUUUUUAUAUUUUAAUGAUCUUUUAACGUGCAUUUUUAUAAUUAUUAACAUUUUUGUAUUUAAUAAAGAAAUUCAAAAAUAGAUUAACAUUUUUUGAACUUGAAGAACAAAAUUUGCAUUCAAGAAAAAAAGUAAAAUAACGGAAGAACAAAUUUGAAUUUUAUUAAAAGUUUUUGAACCAAUGAACAAAAAUCAGAUUUUAUGAACAUUUGUUUAGUACGAUCAACACAUUUUUAAAUUUAAUGAAAUUUUUGAAAAUCGGAUAAAUAUAAAACUGAAUUCGAUGAACAUUUUAUGAAUUGUUGAACAUUAUCUUACACUUAUUAACGUUUUGUUGAAUCAAUGAACAAAAAAAUGUUUGCAAAUUUGGAAAGAGAAUCGUGAAAAAAUGAGAAAGUAAAGAAGAAAAAAGAGAAAAGAAAAGGUAAAAGGAAAGAAAAGAACAAAAAAAAGAAAAAACGAAACAGAAAGGAAAACGAAAGGAAAAAACAGGAAAAUGUAUGGCCCAUACGAACGCCCAGUGUGCGAGUGGGGUUUGCGCAAGCUCGUUCGCAACAACUUUUGCGGAAUAUCUUAUUUGACGCGCACCGCGUCAAACUGCCGACGCUUCGCACAGGCGAGCGACCGACCAGCAACGGUGCUCAUAAAGAAGAAGAAAAUUCGUUUAUUAUAGUUGUUCAUAAAUUUUAGAAAAAUUGGAAUUUUCAUAAAAUGUUCUUGUUUUUCAGAAAAUGUUGCGAAUGUUUUUUUUAAAUCACAACUUUUCAAAUUAAAAAAAUGUUCCCAUUUUCGAAAAUUGCUUGCAAAUUGCCAAAAAUGUUUACGUUUUCAUUUUUCUCAGAGUUUCAAAAAAUUGUCCCAGUUUCAUAAAUGUUCACAAGUUGGAAAAAAUAUUCGUGUUUUCAAAUUUUAUUCAGGAGAUUCAAAGUAUGUUCGCGUCUCCAAAUUUCGUUCUGGAAUGUGGAAAAAUGAUCCCGUUUCAAGAAAUCUUCAUGAUUUUCAAAAAAAGUUCCUGGAUUCUCCAAAAUGUUAUAGUUUUUUUUUUAAAUUUGUUUACAAAUUUGGAAAGUGUUUGAAUUUUGUACAACAUUCCAUUUAAAAAAUGCUUUUAAAUUGCUAAUAUAAUUCGGACCCGCACGGCCUAUUGGUUAUAUAUUGUUGACGCUACCAUAUGCUCUUAUACGACUGCUAGUUCAACUUGUAGUAGCAGGUUAUGUAUAGCACUUGAUCCCUUCUUUGAGUCCCUGUGAUAGCGAUUUUUUUUUUGCACCAAAGUGCGCGUUCAAUGUCGGUCUCGAUCUUCAUGGGCCGGCCUAGUCGUUGAGUCGCCUAUGCAAAACGACAACUCUUUGCCGCAAAGAGCAGCCUAUAGAAGGUCUCGACCUGUGCGCCAUACAGGAUCCUCGUCGGGUGACCUACACACAUAAUAGGGUUUCCCAUCCCAGCCCGCUAGCACAAUUAGCCAAUCUAGGUCGUCCUAUUAGGCCCAACAGAACACCGUCCAGUUUGGUGUUUGACCGAGUCUUCUCGGUCGGACCAAGAACAGGUCCAAGCCCACGCCACAACCACUCUAGGCUAGGGUUUGGUGUUUAGAAGUUUUAUUCAAAGUUUAGUACAACUCAUUUAAUAGCUAUUCAACUUAAAAAUAUGAUUAUUCAAAGAUUUCUUAAGUCUUUUUCUGUUUUUUUUUGCGGGGAAAAGAUUUCUUAAGUCUAAGAUAAGAAUAGAGUCGCACACUAAAACGUCUCACAAAUCGUCUCUAAGUUAAUUAAAAUUAAAUGCUUAUUUUCAUAAAGGCUAAUUAUAAGUAAUAGCUUGUGGCGCUUCAUAAACGUCUUAAGAAGCGUCUUUAGGUCGCUAGUGUCCAUGGGCAUAGAGACGAAUAUAAUAACGUCCCACAAAAAGCGACUAUACAUGGUGUUUUUGUUGUAGUGCGAUCAUAUUCACAUAGUGCUUAGGCGAAGCCCUGCGCGGAUCACUUCACCAUCACCAUCACCACGCCGUCGUGCUGACGGAACUCUCCCUCGACACUUUGCUGGAUCAAGAGUUCGAGGGACGUCGUUGAGCUGAACGUGUGCAGAACUCGGAGGUGUCGUACGUUAGGUUCUUGAUCGGUCAGAACGAGAAGAAAUUCGACUACAUCAACCGCGUUAACAAACGCUUCUGCUUUCGGUCUACGAGGGCACGUGGACACACUCUCCCCCUCUCGUUGAUAUGCAUCUCCUAGAUAGAUCUUGCGUGAGCGUAGGAAUUUUUUUGAAAUUGCAUGCUACAUUUCCCAAUAGAGGCAUCAGAGCCAAGUCUAUGUGUAGAUGAUAUGCACGAGUAGAACACAAAGAAUUUCAAGGUAUAAGUGUUCUCCCUGAGUAUGCACCGUUGAGACAGUUCGUCGUGCUGAGACACCAUGUAAUGGUCGGGUGUGAUAAGCUCUAUAUUCACAUACAACGGAUGCAAGACAGUUUUGCACAUGCGGAAUACUCGGGUUAAACUUGACGAGCCUAGCAUGUACAGACAUGGCCUCGGAACACUAGAGACCGAAAGGUCGAACGUGAAUCAUAUAGUAGAUAUGAUCAACAUAGAGAUGUUCACCAUUGAAAACUACUCCAUCUCACGUGAUGAUCGGACAUGGUUUAGUUGAUUUGGAUUACGUGAUCAUUUAGAUGACUCGAGGGAUGUCUAUCUAAGUGGGAGUUCUUAAGUAAUAUGAUUAAUUGAACUUAAUUUAUCAUGAAUUUUGUAGAUCAAUGGCCCGUUCUACUAUUCCCUUGAAUUUUAAUGCGUUCCUAGAGAAAGCUAAGUUGAAAGAUGAUGGUAGCAACUACACAAACUGGGUUCGUAACUUGAGGAUUAUCCUCAUUGCUGCAUAGAAGAAUUAUGUCCUUGAUGCACCGCUAGGUGUGUCACCCCCCCAACAACUGCAGACGUUGUGAACGCCUGGCAGUCGCGUGUUGAUGACUACUCGAUAGUUCAGUGUGCCAUGCUUUACGGCUUAGAAUCAAGACUUCAAAGACGUUUUGCACGUCAUGGACCAUAUGAGAUAUGCCAGGAAUUGAAGUUAAUAUUUCAAGUAAAUGCCCGAGUUGAGAGAUAUGAAGUCUCCAACAAGUUCUAUAGCUGCAAGAUGGAGGAGAAUAGCUCUGUCAAUGAACUCAUACUCAAAAUGUCUGGGUAUCAUAACCACUUGACUCAGCUGGGAGAUAAUCUUCCAGAUGAUAGUGUUAUUGACAGAGUUCUCCAAUCACUGCCACCAAGCUAUAAAUUCAUGAUAAAUUAAAUUCAUGAUAAUCUUCCAGAUGAUAGUGUUAUUGAAAGAUUGUUUAUCUUUGUGUCAGUACUCAAUUUUUGAAGUUGAUUGCACACAUCCUAAAAUGACAUCCAAAGAAAAUUAGAGAGAGUAAAUAGUUAGCAUAGUGAAAAGUCUGGACAAUAUCAUGUAUAUGGGCUUAUCAAGCUAUCAUGCAGAAAGAUUCAGUUUUCGUACAUUUGCAGGUUAACUUGCCAUAGAACACCCUUGAUAAAAUAAUCAUUAAGUUUGUCAAGUGAAUCCUCAGUGAAGAUGAUACUAAAAUUGACAGACUUAAAAGUAUUAAAUGCCAUCGAUUGCAAAACAAAAUUAUCUGAAAUCCAGCAAGUUUUACUACCUAUUUUUGUUGUAUAGUUCUACUUGCUUGAAAAGAAGCAAUGCACAACAGUCACCACAAAGAAUGCAAUAUUGUAUCAAGAUGCAAUUGACUCUUUUUUUACUUGCCACAUCACCCUGUCCUGCGGGACCCACCUGGCAUAAUGCAUGCCUGUACCUGCAGAUUAUGCCACAUCACACAUUGUCGGAUUAUGGGACUGAUGGCCUGCGGAUGCCUCCGAAGCCGUUUUUGCGAUUAAGGGCCCAACCAUGCUGAGGACUCUUAGCCAUUUCACUUCCGAGCUGACGGUGGCGCAGUGUCGGGCGAGGAAUUGAGUGCGGUGUCGGAGGAUGACAAUGCGUGAGAUAUACAGUGUGCGAUCUAAUUUAUGUAUGUUUUUUUUUUUCAAGAAAACUUCUAAUCUAUUCAUGUUUAAUCAUGACAGUACAAUGAACACCAGAAAUAACAAAAAUUACAUCCAAAUCCGUAGACCACCUAGCGACCUACAAGCACUGAAGUGAGCCGAAGGCGCAUUACUGUCAUUGCCUCUCUCUUGCCGGAGCCGGACAAAACUUGUUGUAGUAGACAAUAUGUUUACAUGUAUGUAUCAUGGAGUUAUGGUUAAAACAGUACCAUCAAGUAUUAAAUGUUUGUACAAACUGCGUCCUUGUUGUGCACUUGUUGCUGGAGAAACAAACAAAGUAGCUUCAAAUACCGAGUAAGUAAGAAGCUAACUUACAUUCGAAAAUUCAUUUCUGAUCCGGAGCACAGCUGAACCCGAAAUCUCACGCAUCCGUUCGCAUCGGGAUGUCUGCAGGGCUGGUAUUUCCCGUCGAACCUCGCUCGCGUAUAUGCCACGUAUAUAGAAGGGCAGCUGGCGCAUUAACUCCUGGUCCAAACGGACGGACGUCGUGGUACAGGAGAUGGCCCGAUGGACCGGAAACUGUUCUGGGCCGACCUUUUUCCAGGACGGGCGACGGGUCCAGCUAACGGCCACCCAACUGGAAUAAAUAUCCCUUGCCGUUCCCCUGCCAAUCCAUCAGCCGCCACCCAAAGGCCAAAGCAGCAGCCAUGUCUGCGUCUGGGUCCUCCUCCUCCGCCCAGCCGCAGGAGCACCUCCGGCUGUGACUGGGACGACCAAGUUAAACCAGUGCGGGAGGUCCAGAGGAAAACGAAAACACAGCUUAUUUCACUCACCUUCGUUUUCUGGUCGGGAGCGGAGCGGGUGCGCGAUCGCCAGAGCACUCCGCGCCAGUCAUCGUCGCCGAUGCUGCAAACACGGCAGCAACGCUUAAGUCAGUCCGGGCGCUCCACACCGGCACCAUUGCUGCUAGCAGACUAGAACACAUGGAGGAUGAACCUGACGCCCAGUAUCCACCACAGCUCUUAUGUGACGGCACACCCCAUCCCCCGAUCACACAUACAAGUUUUGAAUUUCUAUUCGAGCAGGCGCACGCGUGUGUACACUGCAAGUUAAAACCACCUGACGCAUGGACGCCUCCAGCUUGGACAUGCAUACAUAUUUCCUAGUGUCAGCACACAAACACUCCUGAAGGAAAUCAGCAGAGACACGACCGGUUCAAACUUAGGCCUACUGAUCAUGUGGAUGCCUGCACACACGACCGCACUCUCAGAAAUUGCAGUGUUGCCAGCUAGGAGGGAUGCACACGCAGAUAAAUCAUGGAUGCAAACCACAUCUCAAGAACACAGACAGGGAAAUUGUCACAUUCAAACUCAUACUACUUUAGUUCUACAGUCAUAACCACAAAGAACUGACACACAUUCCAUACCACGCAGCUCCCAACUCUACCCCCAGAUGUGAAACCUCAGCCAGGCAACUUCUACAUUUACUCAGACCCUCGUAACGCGCCUUGUCACUGCUAUUACUCAGUCUGCUGACCCCACUAUGCUUAUAUGGAGCUGCUAGACCUUCAAGGGCAUUCACACAGAUUUCCCCCCACUAUUGCAUUUGUCAGCACCGUCGCCCCCCACAAACGCAACCUCUCCAUUGCCAGGCAAUCUACCAGUGGCCAAACCUGCUAUCCGAUCCUCAAACCCCAAACCAUCCCUCUUCUCAGCUAAAGGUGCGACACUCACCAACAAAGCUUCCAGACCAGCAAAAGUGUGCUUGAAUUAUUCUGCAUUCAAAUCGCCCAUCUGCACGACUUCCAUGGCUUUCAGAUAUAACAUCGAGUUCCUGCACGAGAACGACAAGUUAACUGAAUUGUCCUUCUGAUACAGUGAACCAGGUGUGGGGAAGCAUGUCCCUCGUGUCCUUGGUCCACCUCUUGAGUAUAUUCACAGGGAUCUCCAGAUGAAGUAUAUCCAUGACCCGUGCAUUACACUAUGUUUAAAUUUCUUGUACAGAAAUUCAAUUUAUGUGCAGCAAUUUUUUUGUCAGGUUUAGUUACCCUUAAGACAUGGCUGCAUGACAUCCCAGUAUGCUUGAACUGGCCACACUCGCACGUAAACUCUGACUGAUCCUCUGCUUCAUUUUUCCAUUUUAGCUACAUUGUUGUGCUUUGUAACAUAUUUCCUCAUCUUCUCUACUUCCUUGACAUUGUACGACGUCCCUUCGAUUAGGAGGUGACCAAACUCCUCAAACAUAGCCCUGGUGUAAAUUUUACUUGCAUGCCGCUCUAUCGCCAAAUUGGUCCUCUUGUCAACUCCACCCUGUCAUAAUAUAGUUCGGUUUUUCUGUCCGUUAGUGGUUCAUGUAGACAAAUGCCUGACAUAUAUGAAGUGUACAUCUAUUUCUGUCAGAUACUCAAAUUGUACACACAAAAAAUGCUUACAAUCAUCAUUCUCUUCUCCUGGUAGCUUUCCUCAUCCUCGUGGUCAACUGUAACCUCAUGUAAUGCCCGACAAAAACAUGCAUUGGGCUUGACGGAGGUAUGUAUGUCUUCAACGUGUGAUUCGUGACUUAUCUCUUAUCUUCCUGCAAAUACUUCUUAGGGUCCUCUUCAUGAAGGGCACCUUCUUGACCGAACCAAAGAAGCUCCCAAUUAUGUUGUACACCUUCCCAAGGUUCAGAUUGUUUUCCCUAAGUUGCUUUAUUAAAUCUUGUGUAUGCGUCGAUGAGCUUGUGUGACGGCCAGUGCACCUUCUCACCCAUUGUUAAGGACAUUGAAUGGUUGAGGCUUUCACGGUGCUCUGUGAUGUACCAGCUGUUGUCCGUCGCGCGCGACAGCCUAAUCAGCACUGGACACUCGCAUCUGCAUGACCUACUAUCGGCCAACAAAACAUAACAUCAGACACUACCGCGCUUGGAGAGCACAUCGACAACACAGCAAAACACAUUUACUCUGAAAUGUAUUAUAUUUCAGCAAAAGCUCGUUACUCACCGAGCAACCACGAUCUCCUGCAUGCAUUUCGUCCUCUCGGCAUUUAGUUUGCUUUUACCAAAUCUGAUACCAAAGACAUUCCAAGAAUAUAGAUUGUAUAGAACUCGUAUGCCUCACCAACUGAAUCGAAACUCGGGUAGGGCGUACUAAAUUCUUUGUAGGUUCCUCUGUGUUGCGAAUCAAUUUCUCCAGAGCGCUCGUCCGAGAGGGUCAUGAUGUCCUGUCUGGUGGCGCACUGCCCAGCCAUAACCUGUUUUUUUGCAGAUGUUCAGCAUUCACUCUACGUACGAGUUCAAAUACAAGAAUAAUUCUGCCAAGAGUGUCUCCCGUUAUAAGUAUAGAGAUUCAUCAAGAAAAGAAUAAAAGGGGUAUUAGGAAUGUCGCAUGGACAUGCUCAGAAAGGUCUCUAAAGUAUGCAUGCGAGAAAACCUACGCCUAUUCUUAUAGUCAAGGGUAAUGGAACUGGAAACUUUGGUGUUCCAAAAGUUAAUGAGAAAAGAUUGAAAAUGGAUAUGGUGUCAUAUGCUUCAGCUGUUGGAAGCUCAAUAUAUUACACAGUUCACGUAUCCGGGUUGUUUUGGCAAUGUCCAGUCCAUAUAUAGAUCACUGGAAUGGAGUCAAGAAUAUCGGCCUCAUGCUGAAAGAAAUAAGGGCUCUCAAAAGAUUGUGAGUACAAAGACAGGACUUCUGAAAUGUAUAGCGAAAUCCACAAUUGUCGCUAACUUUCACACUUGGGAGUUUUUUGUGUGGAGAAACUCCAAAGAGUGAAACAAUUAUCAUCAAUGUGAUGCAAAAACAUGUUAAAGCUUGAUAUGAGGCCGAGGGACAGGCAAAAUGGUUAAGGACACCUGUACCCGGAGCUGGCAAAAUGGUUAAGGACACCUGUACCCGGAGCUGAUAAUGGUUGACAACAACGAUAACCAUUUUAAGUUUUUCGCUCCUAUGACAACGAGUCAAGUGUUGAUGCCAAACACACUGACACAGAGUUAUGCGUUGUAAAGGAGAAAGUCCGGAAUUAUGUAGAAAUGCUUGAAGCAUAAAAGCAACAGACAAGUGUUUGCAGAUCUGCUUAUUAAAGACUUACCGCCCAGUGUGUUCGGAGAACACACAGUCGACAUGGGUUUUAUGGUAUAGUCUAUGAUUUCCGGACAAUAAACGGGCCCAAGGUUAAAGAGUCUGUUUCAAAACAGAGGAGUGUAUUGUAGGUGUUGAUUCCAUCGGGAUAGACCGUGAUGAUGAGACAUGCUCUACAUGCAAAUCUGUGAUGAAACGAGUACUUUGAAAAGAGUUAUUUCAAAGUAUAAAGUUAAAAGUAUAUGAUGAGAUCAAGGGGGAGAAUGUUAGAUUGAUCUCUUCCCCAAUGGGCCCAACGACCCAUUGGACCCUUGACCCACGCCCUGAUCAGGUGCGUCCAGCCCAAGCAAGGCUGGUGGGCCCCUAUCGCGCAAUGCCAUAUAGAGGAGAUGGGGACCACGGCACAAAGUACGCGGUUCGCCGCCGCCACUGUUCCCCACUCCUAACCCUAGUCCGAUCGAGAGGGAGGCGCUGAAGCGAUGGGAAGCGCAACCAGCCACUUCACCGUCGACCUCUACGCCGAGCUCCCCUCCGUUCACCACCAGCACCAGGAGCUCCUUGAGACAAAGGAGAAGGUAAUCUCCUAACGACACCAUCAGUCCUAGCCUACCCGAUCCCACAGCGACCUAUCAUCCUCGCCUCUGCCACGUCGUGGAUUUUACUGUCACAUGUAUCUACCCUACCCUAGAUAACACCUCCCCACGGUGACUUCUUUCCUUAUCUUCGCCACGAAGGCAGCCCAGCAUGCGACCUCCAUGUCUCUCUCGUUUCCUCUCCCAUGUGGAGGAGAGGAAGCGGCUACGAUCACACCACCGGCGCUGGGUCGAUGGUGUCCUGCCUCGGCAACCAGGAUUGGGCAAGGUAGAUGCGAAGCAGCGGCGCACCCUCUCCCCGAGCUCCAAAUCCAUGGAAGCAGCAACGAGGUGAGCAGCGGCAAAGGCGCCUCCGCAGAACUGGCGGUCGGCGUCUGGCCUCUGGCAGAAUUGUGUGGACUAGCAGCGGCCACAGCGAUGCAGAGAAGGUGGAGGCUAGGAGGCGGGCAAGAAAAAGGGGAUGGCGAGGCAGAGGAAGUGGUGGGCAAAGGCGGAGGGAAGGAGAUCGGACAAGCUGCAUCGGGAGAUGAGGAGGAGAUGGGUCGGAAGCAUGCAAAAUGAGGAGGAGCUGGGCGGCGAGGUCAUGGUGGCCGGAGGAACCAAGAUCGACACCUCCCCAUCUAGAUCUUCCGCGAGGGAAUAAGGUAUGUCUCGCACAUGGAUUCCGGAAGGAUGUUCCCAUUUCUAUGCCUAAAAUGUCUCUCUCAUCAGUGCACUUGUACCAUCUCAGCCAGGCGAGAAAAUUGUGACAUAUCCUGUUCGUCCAGUAGAUACGUCAACAGAUUUUGAAGGAACAAAACGCCUUCAACCAACUCAGCCAGUAAUAGAAGCUCUGUUUCUGCCUAAAUCUUAAUUUUUCAAUCUCUAAGAAUCAGUUUUGACAAUGACAUGAAACUUGUAACUCAUAUCAGUUCAUUUUCAGCCACUACACUCUACUCAUGCAUCAACAUGUUCCAUAGAAAGCUUAUAGAGAACUGAACCAAAAGAAGCUUCUUUCAUUUUAUGAAUUUGUUGAAUCCUAAAAAAUGAGAAAUCUAUCUUAGGAAGUGUUUACCGCAUCGACACACAGCGUGUGCUUAGUCACAAUUUUACAUACGUCAUUGGGCAGUCACCAUCAUAUAAACUGAUACCAUUUCAUUUUCAUUCCCUGCACUCUAUCUUCCUGUUUGAUCCUACAAUUGGACUCAAUCAAUGUACUAUUACCUAUUCUUUUCACUGCGAGAUGCAUGCCUCAUUACCUAUAUGUGCCAUUCUGUAAAGGGAGUCCAGUACUAGCUAAUUCCACUUAUAGUACAAGAUGUAUGCCUGAUUAUCUGUAUGCGCAAUUUGUGAAACAAUACACUCUGUUAAAGUUUUAUCACUGCUCACCCAGUUACUCUCCUCUCAGACUGCAUAACUGUAUAAAUUGUCAUAGUUUUCAUAGUUUUUCAUAGUUUUCUUUUAACUGGCACAUAUAUGUAUUUUCCUAUAUAAAUUGCCACCACAAGCAUUCUUUCUCCAUGGCUAACAUGACACAUUUUACCUGUUAGGUACUCCAUCUGGUUGGAUAGCAAAUUGCGUUUUAAUGCUGAUUCAAUGCUUAUCAUUAAGUAUUUCUUAUGGAGAAAGAAAGCAGAGUAUGCCAUUUCAGCGCACUACGAUCGCACCUGCGUCUGGGAGCACUGGUAGAAAAUGGGCCUUUAGUCCCGGCUGUGCAACCGGGACUAAAUUUGCGCGACUAAAGACCCCCCCCCCCCUUAGUCGCGCCUCUUACGAACCGUGACUAAAGGCUUUAGUCCCGGUUCUCGUGGCUAACCGGGACUAAAGGCCCGUCCACGUGGGCGCCAGGGGUCCAUCGGGGCGGAGGACCUUUAGUCCCGGUUCUCGUGGCUAACCGGGACUAAAGGCCUCCUCCGCAGGUUUAGGGUUUUAGCCCCCCUAAACCUGGUUUUUUUACGAAUUUUUUUAAUUUUUUUUAUUUUCAAAUUUCUGAAUUAUUUUAACCUCUAAUUUCUAAUCACCACCCUCAUCACUGCUCAAUUUAUCCUCUAAUCUCUAAUCACCCCUCAUCAUUCCAAAUCAUCUAACUUCCCGGACGGUCACCCAUCCUCUCACUACUCCAGCCUGAGCACGCUUAACUUCCGGGUUCUAUUCUUCCUCGUUUCCAAGUCUGCACUUGUUGUUUUCCUCACAAUAGUAGGAUGUCAAUUCUAUUAACCCUCAGGAAUUUAGCUUGAGCAUGAAGUGACACAUUUCACUGUUUGAGUUUGAAACAAUUGUUUUAAAAAACAAUAAUUAUUUAGUAACACUAAUAUUUCUGGAAUAAUUAGUUUGACCAUUGUUUGACCACAGUUUGACCACAGUUUGACCAGAUUUGACCAAAAUUUAAAAAAAACUGAAAUAAUUAUUUAGUAACACUAAUAUUCUACAAUAAUUAGUUUGACCAUUGUUUGACCACAGUUUGACCACAAUUUGAAUUUUUUUUUGAAUUUUUUUGCCUCUCCAGAUCUUAAAAGCCCCGUAUCUUUUUUUCUGUUAGGUUUUUGAGGAUUUUGAAAAUGUUUAACGGGGUUCCCAUUUUCUGUUAGGUUUUUGAUGUAACUUUUCGAGUAGAUGAUUUUUCAUAUAAAAAACUUUUUCAUCCGAGUUCGUAUGCAAAAGUUAUGCCCAUUUUAAGAAAUUCCAGAGAGAUUUUGCAAAUAAAGUCGAAAUUCAUAUUUGUUAAUUUUCCCAACAACUAGACCACAUAUCACAUGAGAAACUUAUUUUAUUUUAUUUUUUUGACAUUUCCAUCAUUUUCUUUUGGUUUUUCUAAAACUGAAAAGNNNNNNNNNNNNNNNNNNNNNNNNNNNNNNNNNNNNNNNNNNNNNNNNNNNNNNNNNNNNNNNNNNNNNNNNNNNNNNNNNNNNNNNNNNNNNNNNNNNNNNNNNNNNNNNNNNNNNNNNNNNNNNNNNNNNNNNNNNNNNNNNNNNNNNNNNNNNNNNNNNNNNNNNNNNNNNNNNNNNNNNNNNNNNNNNNNNNNNNNNNNNNNNNNNNNNNNNNNNNNNNNNNNNNNNNNNNNNNNNNNNNNNNNNNNNNNNNNNNNNNNNNNNNNNNNNNNNNNNNNNNNNNNNNNNNNNNNNNNNNNNNNNNNNNNNNNNNNNNNNNNNNNNNNNNNNNNNNNNNNNNNNNNNNNNNNNNNNNNNNNNNNNNNNNNNNNNNNNNNNNNNNNNNNNNNNNNNNNNNNNNNNNNNNNNNNNGGUUGGUCUGGCCAACCGCGACUAAAGGACUUCGGGCCAGCCUGAGGACCUUUAGUCCUGGUUGGUCUGCCAACCGCGACUAAAGGACUAACCUUUAGUCCCGGUUGGUCUGGCCAACCGCGACUAAAGGACUUCGGGCCAGCCUGAGGACCUUUAGUCCCGGUUGGCCAGGCCAACCGGGACUAAAGCCCCUCCCGUCCGCCAGCUGUCGACCGAGCGCGCUGGGCCCAGAUAGUUGGUCGCGGGUCUCCUCCCGAACCGCGACUAAAGACCCCUUUGGUCGCGGUUCGAUUAUUUUGGGGACUAAUGGGGGCGUAUGGAAGCCUCUUUUUCUACUAGUGGAGGAAGUUCUUCAGAACAAGCUCAUAAACAAGUAAAAUCACACUGCUAUCGAUGAGCAAUUUUACUUUUAUUAGUAUGAGUGCCUGUGAAGUUUAAUGCCUCUGGCCAAGAUCCAGUUCUACCGAGUUGUAAGUAGCAUUUACUUAUGUUUGAUAAAAUCUCCUAUGAGUAAAUGAAUUGGUCAAGUGUAGAACAAUUGUCUCGGAGCUUAAUUAGAUGUACACAUCGUCCUCUGCUUUUCAAACAAAUUUGAUCAUAAGCUUUUAUACAAACAAGAUGGGUCCCAAAUGCUAUUUACCGUAUAUAGAGAUAUAUAGCACGGGAAUCGCCCACAAAGCGACAACCGACAUACAUGGACGGAGACACAUUUUUUGUGUUGGCUGUAUUGGUUUUCGGUAUUUUUUUGGUCUUUUCUGGUUUAUCCUCUUUUAGUAUUUUCAGUGUUUUCUUCUUACAUUUUUUGGGUUUUCCCUUUUCUAUUUCUUUGUCCUUAUUUUCUUCCCUUUUCCAGUUUCUUUCUAACUUUUAUAUAAUAGAAUAUAGCAUUUAUUGACAAAGGACAUGAAUCUUUUUAAAAAUACAUGAGCACGUUUUGAAAUUAUUUGAACAUUUUUUAAGGACAUGAACAAUUGUUUUAAAUUAGAAGAACAUCGUUUCCAAAUAGGCCCGUGGACAUUUAAGUCCCAUGUGGUCGACUGCUUGCUUUCUAUCGCUAUAAGCGGGGUAUACUCGGAAAAUGCCAACAGAGGCCGAGCUCCAGGGAGCUCGGUAUUUUGAAAAAAAAACAAUCAAAACUAAUCAUUUCAAGUUUCAAAAUAAUAAUUAAAUCGAAGGACAAUUAUACGAUUUUCGUACGCGCACGUGAAAAAAUCAUUUGAAUCUUUUGUGAUUUGUAGGCUGUACCAAAAAAAAUCUGGCCACAAAAAAGAUUGGCCCAUUUUAGAAAUACACUUUUGUCUUUUUUUUCUGUACGCUAUGUGUGAAAGUAUAUGGUUAUGAAUUUUUGCACAUACGCAAUACAGAUGUGUGAGAUUGUAUACAAAAAAUUUCAAAUUUUGUCAUGCUGUUGAAAUUCGUAUUUUCAAAACGAGUUCCGUGGAGUUCGGCCUCCAAAAGCCCUCACUCGGAUAUAUUCUCUUUUGUUGAAGGGGUAAGGUGCAAACCCUUCUCAACUCUCACGACGUCAAAUUGUAACAUGCAUUUUUUUUUGUUGAGAAACUUGUAACAUGCAUUGGUGUGUUGUCCUGGGCCUGACUAAAGAAGCUCGAGAGACGACCACGAGGUGGAGGCUGAGUGCUCCAUGAUGGGUUUCUCUUUUCUUUUUCUUUCCCCUCUUUUCUUCCCUUUUCUAUUUCUUUUCUCUAUAUAUUUUUUAUGUGAAAGAAGUAUACACAGUUAUCAAGAAAUGCAUAGAUAUUUUUGUAAAUACAUGAACACGUUUCUAAAUUACAUGAACAUUUUUUAAGGACAUGAACACUUGUUAAAAUUAUAAGAACAUAUUUUUCUAACUGCUCAAAAUCUUUUAUUUACAUGAUGCGUGAACACAUUUUAGAAGUAGAUGUUGUUUUCUUCUGAAAAAGGCAUGAACAAAUUUGAAAAUUAUAUUAAUACAUUUUAAUAUACAUGAACAUUGUUUCAAUUGCGUUAAUUAUUAUUUUAAAUAUUAACAUUUUUAAAAGGAAAAUAUGUUUUUAUGUGUAUAGAUUUUUAUAACAAACGGAUAUUUUUACUCCUUUUUUUAUUAUGGAUUGGAUUAUAAUAUUAUUUUUUUGAUAAUCGGAUUGGAUUAUAAUUUAUAUUUCUGGCGGUGGCGUCUCCUUUCCCGAGAUCGGCGGUGGUAAGCCUCUGAUCGACCGUUGAUGGCCUUGAGGAUGCGUCCCCCGCCGACGCUGUACUACGCGAGGUCCAGCAGGAGUCGCUCCGCGUCGUCCUCGUUGAACUCGGCGACGGCGAGCCUCGGGCAAGCGGCUCGAGGAUGCGUUAUUUGAUUCGUUUUGGUUCUUGUCUCGUGGUGCCAUGGGAGGAGGAAAUCAUGGGUAUUUGUGAGGAGGAAAUCGUAGGGGCGCCCAUGGCUUCAUGUUGGAGUAGGUCUCGUAUGAAGAUCCGAUCCAAAAUGGACAAACAUUUUUGUCCACUUAUUUACUGGAUUGCGGGUUGAUUAUUUAAUACUAUAGGGGGCCUUUUUAUAAAAUGGACACGACGGUGAACCCGACGGAAACAAUGCGUGCUUUAUUAGUAGGUAAAGAAAAGAUAAAGAUUGGUUUAUAUUUUUUUUCUAAGAAUCGGAUUGGAUUAUAAUUUAUAUUUUUAAUACAUUUCCAAGAAAGCAAAAAAUAUAUCUAUGUGAACGGGCCACAGUGGCCGCAACCCAUUUGAGUCAUGAGUGGUCGACUGUGGCGAGGAUGGUGCGACAUCAACGUCGGCCAUGGGUUGAGGGAGAUGACGAUUUUGCCAGUGCCGGUCGACGGAUCAUCGAGGUGGAUGGCGGCAAUGAUGAGGGUAGACGGGGAUGCCGGGGUGGGACGAGAUGUUGUUUCCUCGACUAUUUGACACAGUGAGCUAAAAAAACAUUUUGUUGAGAAGUGAGCAAAGUUGGAGAUGAACAAGGAAACCUUUGGUCGUGGGCCAGGAAACGUGAUAACCUCUGGCCCAACGGUUGAUGGGCCGCAACGACGGAUCCUAUCCAUUCUCAUCCUUUCCAGCCGCCUCCACGGUUCUCCGGCCACCGCCGCCGACGAUGACGCCGGCCGCCGCCCACUACUUCCGCAGCCCCGUCCACUCCCAACGUCAGCAAGCAUGCGCCGGUUUCCACAACGCAGCAGCAGAAGCAACCGCAGCCGGCAGGGAGCUGAUCCCGGCCGUCGCCCUCCACAUCGGUGACUGAAUCGGCGGUCAGGCAGCAGCAGUCCGCCAUCACGUUCACCCCAACCGCAGCAAGCAGCAGCAGCCGCGAUUCAAUUCCUCUCACGGUCUGGGAUCAAGAGGUACGACUGCCUAGGUUUUCGGUUCCUCCAACAGUUUCUGAUUUAGUCUGUUGGGCUGAAAUAAUAAGAGAAGCUCGAAUUGAUGUGGAUGUUUGAUUCGUUGGUGUCAUUUUAUCCGAGUUGCAGAUGAGCUCACGGAUGGAUCACAUUCACUCUGUGCCGGAGAGCAAAGCUUCCUCAGCCACAUGCCCUCUGGUAGAUAUCGGUACUAAGUGGGAAAGAAUCAAUUCAGUGAGGUCUGACUAUGAGAGUGGAGAUUAAUGGACGUAACGUCCGAGCGAGGUAAUCAACAGAUUAUUGUAUUCUGCACAGCUCUAUUGCAAGUUCUUGGACAUAAAUAUGGAAGUAGAUUGUAGUACUAUAUCUUGCAAACAACUAGUAGCACUAUUACAGGGUAGUGUCCGGUGAUUAUUCAUACAUCUUCAGACCUAAUGGACCGAAAGCAUCAAAGCACAGUGGUUGCUAUUGCAGCGCAAGUGUACACAAAGUACAACCUUGAAUGUUUACAGAGUAUGGUAGUCCGUGCGACAUGCUUUAAUUCAUCCUCACAUUCCGCAACCUCCCCGUUAGCAUGUUAACGACCUUUGUCAUCGAUGGCCGGUUUCUCGGGUUCCACUGGAUGCACCACAGUGCGACAAUAGCAAGCCGCCUCACCUUUUCUUUCUCUUCUUCAGUCUUUUCUGCCAUCACCCUCCAAAUCGGUGACUGAAUCAGUGGUCAGGCAGCAGCAGCCGCGCGUCGAUUCCUCUCUCACGGUCCAAGACCAAUAGGUACUAGUGCGCCACACCACUCCUCAGAUUUUCGAUCCCUCCCACAGUUUCUGAUUUGGCUUGUUAUUAUUAUUCAAGUAAGUGAAGCUCGAAUUGAUGUGGAUGUUUGGUGCCAUUUUAUCGAAUUGCAGAUGCUGGAAAGGAAAAGCUCCGUCAGGCACAUCGCCUCUGUUAGCAACGGAAUAUGCCAAAUAUGGGAGUUGCAAAGCAAAAGCUCCGUCAUCAGGCACAUCUACUAACUGCCAAGAGGAGAUUCACUAACUCACAGAUGCAGAGAAAUAUGGGAGACCGAAUAAGGUAAUCAACGGAAUACUGAAUUGCACACAACGCUAUUCGCAACUUUUGGAGAUAAAUAUUGGAGUAGCAAUUGCGAAUCGUGUAUCUUGCAAAUAAUCAGUAGAGUAAGAUUACAAUGGUAGUGACCAGCGAUUAUUCAUACAUCUUCAGACAUAGACUGAAAGCAUCAAAACACAGUGGUUGUUAUUGUUGCAACACACGCGCAGACAAAGUACAACCUUGAAUGUUGACAGAGUAUGGUAGUCCCUGUUUUGAUUUAUGGCAUAGGUUCAUUUUCAUAUGAGACGUAAGGCUUUGGGGGCAUCUGCAGACUCUGCAACCUCCCUGUUAGCAUGUUAACGACCUUUGUCAUCGACGGCCGGUUUCUUGGGUUCCACUGGAUACACCACAGUGCAACCAUUGCCAGCUGCCUCACCUUUUCUUUCUCCUCUCGAGUCGUUUCCAAAGUAAGCACCAACUCCUCCCCAUUGAUAACUUUCUCGUAGAUCCACUCUGGGAGGUAAACAUCGUCCUGGCUCCCGAUUCUUGGGUCUGAAUUCCUCCUCCCGCUUACCAUUUCUAGCACCAGCAUGCCGAAACUGUACACGUGUGACUUGUACGAUACUCCCCCAAAGUUCCGAGAGUAUAGCUCUGGUGCAAUGUACCCCAUUGUGCCUCUUGCUGCUGUUAAGGUGACGAUGCUUUGGUCCCUUGCGCACAGCUUUGCAAGGCCAAAGUCUGAGAUCUUUGGAUUGAAGUUGUAGUCCAGCAGGAUAUUGUGAGGCUUGAUGUCAAAGUGGAGGAUGCGCUGGUUGCACCCUUGAUGCAAGUACUCCAUUCCUCUGGCAAUGCCUAAAGCAAUAUCUAGCAGCUUGUCGGGUACCAGAAGAUGCUGGAAAUUUGCAGAGUCACGAGAGAAAAUAUAUUUCUCUAGUGACUCAUUAGGCAUGAAUUCAUAAAUCAGAGCCCGUCUCAUUCCUUCGGAACAAAAUCCAAGGAGGCGGACAAUAUUGGCAUGGUGGAUUAGUCCGAUGGUUGCAACUUCAUUGAUGAAUGCUUGUCCCUCUCCUGUAGAGUUCUCUAGCAUCUUGACUGCCACGGGCACUCCAUUUGGUAGCUCGCCUUUGUAUACACUUCCAAAUCCUCCCUGCCCUACUUUUUCCUUAAACCGUCUUGCCAUCUUCUUAACUUCAGAGAAAGUGUACCUCGUGGGUUUCGAUGCUCCAUAUGUCUUGAGAAACAUUUCGACCCUCAAAUGUAUCUCCGUAUUAUAUCUUGUCUUGAGUGAAAGAUAAAGCACAGUGGCCACCGUUAACAAAAGAACAACAAAUGCGGCCACCGAUGAUGUAGCUGAAUAAACAAACAAUAUAUGACAUCAGCAUAUUGCAUUGGGAAUUAAAAGCCCUUACUUAGUUUUAUGUGGAUAAGGAUAAGAGGACGUCAAGGUUCAGAGUAGCCAACAAUAGGGAUUUGCAUUAUAUAAAUUUGGUAAUUAAAAUGACUGCAGUCAGAGUAGUACCUGCGAUGACUUUGAUACGGGAACCUGCAAAUACAAGAACAAGAAUUAGAGUCAGUUGAUGGUUUAGUAAAAAGAAAUGAGUUAUACUUGAUUUUGGUUUUAGAACUGUCAAAUUCAUUGUUUUCUACCAUUGCUGCCAUACACUCCCUAGCGGGGAUACAAUAGAGAUUUUAAUGUUCCAGAAACACAUAAGCAGUGAUAUUUAGGCCAUUUUGAAAGAGAAAAAAUAUUUGUCAUAACUGACCAACCACAUUUCAUUUUUGUAGAGCAUAUAGGAGAACCAUGCAUGUUUAUAUCUAGAAGAGAAUAUCAUGAACAUACUGUGGUACUGGCCAAGCUUUACACUGAACUUUGACAAGGAGAUUACUCAAGAUCCCACUACAGAAGGAAACACACCCUACCAACUGUUCUAUGUGUGCUUUGGUUGCUGGUUGUCUUUUUUUUUGGGGGUAUUGUGUUAUGUACAGAGGAUGUGGUACCGGUCUUUUGCUGGUUUUCUUGCUUUCGGCCUGGCUCUGUAAUGCGCUUCCUGGAAAACUUGGCAAGGGUUGGGCCGCUCACCUGAAUGGGAGGCUUCAUAGAUAGAGAACUGGGCAUGCUAGGCAUUAUCAGGCGGGUUCUGUUUUCUUUUGUUAUUUAGAAAUAUUUUAUAAUAUGUUUUGUAUUGAAGUGGUUGUGCAUCUCUACCAAAGUAUUGGACUGAUAUCUCCAAAGGAUUAGUUAGUGUUGUAUAGAUGAACAUAUUUUAUAGGGCCAAUGUUUAAUAGAUGAACAAAACAUAUUUCCUUCCUCUCGACAACUUCUCAGAUUUUUUAUGAGAGUUCAGGUGCAUAGUUCAAUGUGAUUGCUCAAGAAGGCUACUAAAAUAAUUUGUGGUGCUAUUUUAAAAGAAAAAUAUUGACAGAGAGUCUCAUGGAGAUUCAAACACCUGAAAUUAUGAAGUAAAAUUUUAACAGACUUCAAAACUUCAUUACAAAUAAAAUUGGAUGAUGCAAUUAAAUAUGGUUCUAGACAGUUAGAAUUGAUCAUACCGUCAGGCAUACAGAAUGCUUGAUUCUGUUGUGAGCUGAACGCGCAGCGUAGCCCACUGAGCUCACACUCUCUGCAAUCAUCAUCAGUCCAACACAGUGUGGUCUCAACAGAAUUGAUAAAUGUUUUUGCAGCUUCCUUGAAGGACCGUGGGUCGUAUAUUUGGCCGCAACUCCAAUACAUGGGUUUCAGACGGCCACCGACACCAUCUGAGACUGGGACGACCUUGCA